rnacentral:lncRNA from 1 species
UUUUUAAAAGACAAGUUCUAUUAAUGGAUUGAUUUUUUAAAAAAUAAAAUCACCCUGCAAAAAGCCCAAACCUACCACUUUCAAACCAAUAACAAUAACACUUUUGCAUGCCAAGCAAAGCCUUCAAAUACAUCAUCCUAAUUGUCACUUAAUAGACAUAUAAUUGUACAAACAAAUAUCUAAUAAUUUGAUUCAACAAACUUAUAAGCACACUGGUUUUGGUUUAGAUACAGUAUAAAUAUGUUCAACCGUAGUAUGACCAUCACUGAAAGUAGAGAUUGCUAACUAAAAUACAUGAGAUUUUAAUAGCAUGGCCUUAUGUUUCCUUUCAAUCACUCCAUCAUGGAAUCAAGCAUGAGGUAGAAGCCCCUGGAAAAUCUGCUGCAGCAUAAUCUUCAGGUUAUCGAACAUGUUUGGCAUGCUCAAAUUAUCUGUUUGGAAAGAUCAAACAUACAUUAUAAACAAUGAAAAUAGACAAAAAGAGAGCCAACAAGUUUUAGCCUUUCACUUGUCAUACAUGUGAUUUUGGCCACGAGUUUUUCUUGGAUAUCUGAGAACGGCGGCUAAUUCUUCAACUGCUUGCCUGGAGCGCUCUGCUGUUUGACCUAUUACAACACAGGUCUGAGUAUCACAUGGCCAACUUUUAGGUACCUAAACUAAACAUGCAUAUAUGUACAAAGUUGUAGCAAGGAUCUCAGCAUUAGUUCAUAUAUAAUGAAAAAAAUUUCACCUGGCAAUUUUCAUUUUUCAAUUGGUUUAUGCGUUUAGAGUAAAAUCAUAAGAAGUAAUAUAUGUUUGUUAAGAAACUGAAAACUAAAGAAGUAAUUGAUUUCCCUUCAAUAAAAGCUGAAGUUAUUUAAUUUGGCAAAAAAAUAAAAUAAAAAAAUAAAUAAACUUGUUUUGUUGAAUCUAAUAAUAGGUUCUGAAGUGGGAUUCAUUAUUUAAAGAGAAAUUUCAGUGAAAAGAUCUUGGGCUUCUCUCUGGCAUCACUAACUGUUAUGCAGAAGAACAAUGACUAAUACUUCCAUGAAUUACUAGGCUGAAUUGGCAGAAAUCACAUCCACGUAGAGGAACGAAAACAUGUAUUUAUACACCCCAACAAUCAUCCAGGGUAAAAGUAAAUUCCAAACUUCCAGGCUUACCUUUUUCGCGGCAAACUUGCAAUCCAAUCCGACCAUUUAUAAAGAUUCUGAAAUGAAUAGAAAAAUCAAACAAAACAUGUUAGUGGAAUAAAAAGAACAAUAAAAAAAAUUGAAAAAAAAAAUCAUCCUUACAAUGUUGAAGAGAGAUAAUCUGAGUUGUUUUAACUUUCCACUGUAUAUUUAAAAUUAAAGUUCUAGUUAGUUCAAAAGCAAUGGAGUUGGGUAACCAUUUAAUGGUACUGCUAUUUUCCUAAUAUGGAUUGAAUAUAUAUAGAAAAAUAUUUGCAUUUGUUUUAUUUUAUUUUUCAAAUAUAUAUUGAUUCUGCACAUGCAUUUAAAACCUAUCAAAUGUACAAAAGUGAUGAAAUUGAAAAAACAUAUGAGAGAAAUAGCGAUGCAUAGGGCUUAAUGUGUCUACAAAGAAAGAUGAAGUAUGGUCAUCAGGCCACUAGAUGGAUUCGUUUUAAUAGAAGAAAAGGUUGCUUUCCAAAUUUAUAAAAGGAGAAAAUACACAAUCCUAACAUGUAUUUCAUUUUCAAGCACGCUAUAAUUUAAAUAAAAUAAUAUUAAAAAAUAUAGCAAGAGUAACUAUAUUGGUGAUAUAAGUUAAUUCAAGAAGUGACAAGUAGUAAAAAUUGAUAGUUCAAGAGAUCUAAGUAGAUAGAUGAAUGUAGGUACCUUGUUCCAUGCCAAUGACGAUUUCUUGGAUUCAAGAGCAAAUCUAUGGCAAGAUGUAGUCCACCCAUAAUGUUUAGCCCCACUAGAUUUAGAAGCCCAUUAAAUCCUACGAUAUUCACUCGUCUAUGAAUUUGUAAUUGCAUAAGCCAUGGCAUUGCGCCUUGCCCUAUGUUCAACUCAGUCAAUCCUUUUAACUCUGAAAGUUGAAGUACUUUGAGUUGAGGAAACCCAUUUGCAAACACUUGCAUUUUAAUUCCAUGGUAUGCGUUUGCCCUUAAUAUGAGAGUCAACAAUUUUGGCAGCUUCUCUAAAACGACCAUAUGAUCACAACCUAGCCUAGAUGCUUCCAAUGUCAAUUGUGUAAGAUUUGGUGAGAAUUCAAUGGUUUCAGGCAAUUUUUGCAUGUGUCCCUUUAUGUCCAACUUAGAAAGAUGGAGGCAAGAGUUUAUGGCAAAGGGUGGAAUGCUGGAAUCAUCUGAUGCCUUAAGGUACAAGGAUUUAAGACUAGGUAGCUUGGCAAUGGAGUUUGAAAACACAGCCCCUUCUACCUCACACCUUCCUUCUAAUUUCAAUUUCUCAAGGCAAGUUAAGUUGCUUGAAUCGUUCUUGAUCCAUUGGUUGAAGGUUGUGCCUGACAGAAUUUGAAGAUUUUGCAAUGUAUCAAUUUGCAGUGGAACAUCUUCCUCUUGCCCCUCGAUAUAAAGAUAUCUCAUGUUUUUAAUCUUCCAUAUCACAUUUGGCACUUGUCUAAGAUUGUUUAUCUCCAAAGUCUGCAAACUCCUUAGGUUGCCUAUAGAUGGUGGAAGCAUUUUUAGACGAGUAUGCCUUAAUCCCAAGUACCUUAAAUGAAUCAUUUCCCCAAUUAUACUGGGUAGACAUUCAAUUUCUAAACCUUCCAAAUCUAACACUCUAAGCACUCUGAAGCAUUUGGCAAUGAAAUCCAAUUGUGAUGCUCUACAAUUUUUCCCCAAAUUGAAAAAUAAGAGAGAGCGAAGGUAUGGGGUUAAAUGUUCAAUGGAAGCAUACCUCUCAAAGUCAGAAUAAAUACUUCGUCGACGGGAUUUAGAUGAAAAGAGAGAUAAAUUGGCGGAGGGGGAUAGAGGAUCUGCAAUACUAGUUCCCAUGAAGUUUUGCUCUUUUGCCUUUUCAAUAGCCAACUCUCGUAUAAGGUCAUGAACUCGACAUUUCAUAACCCUUGCAUUAACACUCAUUCUCACUACUUGAAUCAAGUUUCUAUUGAUUAACUCAUUCAAGUAAACCUCAGCCAUGUCUUUCAUUCUUCGGUCAUCUUGUUCUCGCACAAAACCCUCAGCAGUCCAUAAAAGGAGCAGUUUUCUUGAGGAGAUCACGUAAUCUUCUGGGAAGAGACUUAAAUGAAGAAAGCACGGUUUCAAGUAAUGGGGCAAGUCGAUGUAGCUCAGGUUUAGCAUUGUCAUUACUCCCAUUUGGCCUUCUUUAUCAAGGUGUGCACUAAUGUUAUCAUGCACCUGCUUCCAUUCUGUAUGUGACAUAUUUCUUGACAGCAAACCCCCCAAUACAACGAUGGCCAAUGGCAAACCUUUACAUUUGCCCACCAUCUCUUCCCCAAGUUCCUUCAAAUCUGGAGGAUACCUCUCGCUAUCAGCAUCAAGGAACGCCUUCCGACAAAACAAGUCCCAGCUCUCUUGUUUCGAAAGAAGCCGCAUUUCAAGGGGAAUAGUUCGAGCAUCUGCAUGCAAAGCAACAUCCUUAUAUCGAGUUGUAAGAAGUAAUCUGCUGCCGUUACUCCCAUCGGGAAAAACAUUUCCAAGGCAAUCAGGAUCGUUGCUGCUCACUUUUGCAAGAAAAUCCCAAUCGGCACACCUCCAUACAUCAUCCAGAACUAUCAAAUAUUUUUUCUCCUUCAAAUGAUCAUGAAGGAAAUCCCCCAACUCGUUCUCACCAUACUUCUCUAUCAUUUCUGCUUGCUCUUUAGUCGGUUCAGAAACCUGGUUAAUAAUUUGCAUAUAAACCUCUCUGGGUCUACAAUCUUGGGAUACAUAAAUCCAGGCACGAAAUUCUGGAAAGUGUUCCACAAUUUUUUCAUGAUUAUAGACCUUCUUGGCAAGGGUGGUUUUGCCUAUGCCGCCCAUUCCUACCAAAGAAAUCACGCGGCGUCUUUGGCCUCCUCCGAUCAGCUGCUCCACUAGCUUAUGUGCCUCCUGUGUAAGGCCCACGAUGACACGCUCUUCUGCACGAGGAGAGGAGCGUCUUAGAUCCUGCAACAUUUGACCCGAACCGCUUGUUCCUUCUCCAAUAUUUUUUAUUCCUAGAGCCUCCCGCCUAUUUGAGAUGUCUUGGAGGGUCAGUUGGAUGUCUUCAAUUUUCUUGCCAACCUUAUGGCGGUUUAUCAACUUCUUGAAGACACGCUUGAGAAAGUAGUCUGUUCUCAGGGACUCUGCAUUCAGGAUGAACAUGUCUAUGAUGUCCUCAACAUCAUAAACCACAUCACGGAUUUCGGAAACCCACUUGCGCACUCUUAAAUCUUCUUCUUGCUUCUUCUCCGCUUCUUCCAAGAAGCAUUUCAUCGCCCUUAGAUCUUUCUGCAGCCUCUCCACUUUCCCCCGUACCCCCUUCAAGAAAAUUGCUUCUUGAAUGAGCAUGUCACCGAUCCUUUCAACCGCAAAGGAAACCACAGCGUCUGUCGCCAUUGAAGUGUUCUCUCACCGACCCUCUCUUAACUCUGGAUGAAACUGAUUCUCUCAAGAAGGAAAUACUCAAGUUUUGGAGCUAUCGAACUUCCUUUAAUACUAGCAUGGAGCUUCCUUUGACUUUGGGAAUCAAACACCUUGAUUGCGCAACAAUUAUGGAGAUUGUUUGAGAUUCCCUUCAAUCAAAGUAUUUUAAGUGAAUGGCAGAGAUGCAUGAGCUGGACUUCAUUUUGAUCAGCAAUCAUCCAUAAUAUAAUAUACAGCAACAUGGCAUGCAAUAAAUGAUAUCAUUUAGUUGCUUUCAUGUUCUCAUAAAUAAUAAGUCAAUAACUGACAAUUCAACUGCCAGCCAAGAAAGCCACAGCUGGCCAAGGGGGGUUUUAAUUAAUAACUUCCUCACCCAUAGUCGUUAGGUAUGGGGAUGCAAAGAACUAUAUUGCUUUUUCUCCAACUCACCACCUUUUUCCAAAUGCUUUUAAAAACAAUUUUUUAUUAUCCAAACUAAAACAAAACAAAACAAAACAAGAAAAUAUGUUUAUCAAUCAAAUAAUAAAAAACAGUUUUUUAUUCUUAAAAAUAAAAAAUAUAAUAUUUUUAAAAGAAUAUUUUUUAGUUAUUUUUAUUUAUUAAUUUUUAAAUAAUUAUAUAAAUAUAGAGAGUGAUUAAAAAUAAACAUUAUUGAUAAAAUUUAUUUUUAAAAAUAUAAAAAAUAUGUUAAGCAUAUUUUAAAUUUUCAAAUAGAUUCGCUCUAUAAAAUAUUAAAGAAUAAUAAUUUCUUUCAAAACUAUUAUUAAAAUCACUUUCUAAACAAAAAUUAAAAGUGUAUUUUUCGAAGUCACUUCCCUCAUUUUGAAAAUGUUCGUAUGUACGAAAGAUAAUCACAUAAUAUUUGCCAUAAAAAAAUUGUCAUGGAUGUAGAGUCAUAAUCAUAAAAUAUAUUUUUACUAAAUACAUGCAAAUGAGGUAAUUAAAAAAAAACCAUGUUCUAGAAGAAUGCCAGAGAUGCAUGAGCUGGACUUUAUUUUGAUUAAGUCAUCGCCCAUUAUAUAAUAUGCAGCAACAUCCUUGACUAAUAGUUUUCAACAUCAUUUGGUUGCAUCAUGUUCCAAUAAACAAUCAUUCACAUAAUUGAUAUUUUGUAAUUAUUAUUAUCAUCCAUAAUAUAAUAUGCAGCAACAUCAUUAGUUAGUAGUUUUCAAGACCAUUUGGUUCUUCAUGUUCCCAUAAAUAAUCAUUCAAAUAAUUGAAAACUUAUUAUUAUUAUUAUUAUCAUCGUUCUUAUUAUUAUGCUACAAAGGUGAUGGAAAAAUCGCAAAUGAAAGUAUAUUAUUUCCUAUUUUAUGUUUUAUAACAUAUAUAUACGGAAAGAAAAGCCCUUUUUUUAACUACCAUAUCAUGUUACAAUAACGAAAAAAGAACCAACUUUAGAUCUAAUUGGAUAUUAUUCACUAGUAAAAUUAAUGAAAUAAAUAUUUCAUUUGAAAAAAUUAAGAUUUGGGGUUGCAAUUUGGAUGGGUUGAGUAGAUUAGAAGCCAAUCACACCUAGUUUGAUUAUCAAUAUUUUCAAUUAAUGCUAAAUCGAACCCAACACCAAGUUUGAAUCUCAAUAUUUUUAAUUAGUAUUAGGAGUCCGUUUAAUAGUAAUUCUAAAACAGCACAUACUGACCUUCCCUUAAUUGAUGGAGUAAUCGAACCCCUAGGUAGCACUUUACUUUAAUACUAACAUGGAGCUUCCUUUCAUUUUGGGAAUAAAACACCUUUCUUGCGCAAUAAUUUGUUCUUACAUAGCAUUUGGGGAUUGUUUGAGAUUCCCUUAAAUCAAAGGAUGGGAAAAAGUAUUUUAUGUGAAGGGCAGAGAUGCAUAAACUGGACUUAAUUUUGAUGAGCAUUCACCCAUACAGCAACAUGGCAAUAAAUAAUAUCAUUGCACACCCUUUUGGCAAGACUAGUUUUGCCGAUGCCCCAAGUCCUGCAUUAAAAACCACCCAUCCCCUUCAAGAAAACUGUUUUUUGGCAAGAAGUAGCAUCUUCAUCAAGUGUUUCAGUUAGUCAAACUCAACCCAGUGCCAAAAUCCCCUGUUUUUUAACUCUCUAAAUUCCCUGUGUUUUGGUGUCAUUGGGCAAGUAAGCAAUACUUGAAAAAAAGAACCAUGUUUCUUCAUUUACAAGAAGGAAAAAAAAGGAGAAUUCUAGUCUUAUAUCCCAAAACAACUACUUACCAUUAUUCGAAACUAUUCAUUCACAGACACAAAUUGUAGUAGGAGUCAUGCUCUGCUUGCAGAGAUCAAACAUAUGCAUCAUAAUCCUUUAGCGUUACAAACAAUGAUAAUUGACAAAAAGAGAGUCAACAAGCUAGCCUGUCACUUGUCAUACAUCAUGUGAUUUCGGGCUUGAGUAUUUGACAAGUGCUUGCAUGCCUUGGAUGAGUGGUGUAUAAGGGUUUGCAUGGUCUUCAUUUAACCAUGUGUGAUCAGUGUCCAUGAUUCAGCUUCUCUCUAUCUGCGUAAGUUUCUUGACACGUUCUAGGCAGGAAGCUAAAUUUUCAACUGCCUGUCUAGAGGAUUCUAAUGUUUGACCUGUUGCAGCACAGGUCUUGAGUAUCACUAACCCAACUUUUAGAAGUAAGCAAGCAUAUAUGUACAAAGUUGUAGCAAGGAUCGCAGCCAUUAGUACACAUAUAUACUGAAAAAAAAUUUCACUAAACUGGCAAUUUUCAAUUGUUUUUGUGCGUUUAGAGUAUAAUCAUAAAUAAGAAGUAAUAUAUGAUCGUUAAGAAAUUAUACUCAAAACAAUAGCAGUUAUUAACUUCUCUUUAAUCAAUAGGUGACGUUAUUCAAAUAUUUCACCACCAAAAAAAAUUGUUGAAUCUAAUAUUAGGUUCCGAAGAGAAAUUUCAAUAAUAAUAAAAAAAAAAGGAUCUUGGGCUUCCCUCUAGCAUCAUUAGGGUUAUGCGAAGAACUAAGAAUGAUACUUGGCCAUCAAUUACUAGGCUGGUUUGACCGAAAUCACAUCCAAGUGAGGGAACGCAAACAUGCAUACACCCCCACAAUCAUCUAAGGUAAAAGGGAGUUUCAAGCUUACCUUUUUCACAGUAUAUCCAAAAUCCAGGGAUAUUUUCAUUGUCGAUUAUGCUGAAAUAAAUAAAAUAAAAAAUUAGUUGAAUGAAAAAGAACAAUAAAAAAAAAUAAAAAAUAAAAAUCCUUCCAAAUGUAUAGAAGAAGAAAAUACAAAAUCCUAACAGCUAUUUCAUUUUCAAGUAUACUCUAAAUUAUAAAAUAAAAAUAAUAUUAGAAAAUGAAGCAUGAGUAAUCAUAUUAACUGUUGAAUAUAAUGUAUUUUUAGUGUACAAGUUUCUUUCCUUUCUUAAUAUAGGUCACAUAUAUGGUAGUUAGUUCAACCUAGCCUUGUAUAUAUAUUUCUCUAUUGUAAGAAGUUAAUAAUAUGAAUGAGAAUUAAGGUUUUCUCUCUCUCUCUCUCUUUCAACAUGGUAUCAAAGCCAAGGGGGAAAACUUUAUUCUUUCUGGUUUACCCGUAUAAUUAAUUCCGGGAAUCCGUCCAGUGACUGUGUUUCAUUCCGGUCACCUUUUUCAUUUCCCAAAGCUUUCUGGUCAGCCAUAUCGUGGUCAGAAAAUCCUCAUCACCGUCAACAUUUUUUCGGCGAUAUUUUUCGACACCGACCACGUCAUUAGGAGCACAAAGAGGAGAUCUGCAACUUUUCUCAAACCACUGGAGCCAAAAACCCACCCACACGCCACUCUUCUCCAGCCCCACGCGACGGCGCGUAAGGGCACGUGGCCCACUUUCUGGUGCUGAGCUUUUUCCAAUAGGCUCAUCCGGUGCCGUCUUGCACUUCUAGGCCUCUGUCAGUCCUCUCCGAACCCUACUUCUCCAUUUUUUUGGCAUUUCAGCCUCCGCGGGUCUUCUUUCAGCCUCUGACGGCAAUUCCCUUCCUUGGCCGAGACCUGUGUGUGCCUUGGGAAGGCCUCUUCUUCAUCCCCAGUCACUUUUCUCCUUUGUUUGGGUCCUGACAUACCAGGUUCUUCUUCCACAACUAUGAUCCGACCUCCCUUUAGGGCUCUCUUCGAUCCAAACGUGAUUCAAUUUCAAGUGAAGUGGAUAUGGCAACUAAAAAUCCCAUAUUUACAUCCGUCAUCUCUGGAUCUCCUACUAUCACAUAGAAAAAAAUUGAUUGGUAGUGAGAAUUAUCUCUCUUGGUCAAUGUUCGUGGAACUCUGGUUUAUGGGACAAGGUUAUGAGGAUCAUCUUGUUACACCUAAGGAUGUUAUACCUGAUGUUGACAAAGUGCAAUGGAAGAAGAUCGAUGCACAAUUAUGCAGCGUAUUAUAGCAAUCUGUUGAUCCCAAAAUUUUCCAUCAUCUUCGUGCCUACAAAACUUGCUUUAAAUUUUGGACUCAAGCUAAAGGAUUAUACACGAAUGAUAUUCAACGAUUUUAUAAGGUGGUUUCUGAUAUUGUUCAUGUGAGACAACAGGACAUGGAUCUGUCUACUUAUAUCAUGGUCGGAUUGCGUUUCUUAAGGAAGAGUUCUUAACUUUGAUGCCCUUCACUAAUGGUGCUGAAGCUCAACAAAUACAGAAUGACAAGUUCUUUAUGGUGUUAACCCUCAUUGGUCUCCGUCUAGAUCUUGAAUCUGUUCGAGAUCAUAUUCUUGCUAGUCCAUCAGUUCCAUCUUUGGAUGAUGUGUUUGCUCGUCUCUUAUGCCUCUUGUCGACUGAUGGUCCUUCAGAUUCAUCUGUGUUAGCCUCUCAAACUAACUCUCGAGGAAAACAUAGUGGCAAUCGGGGUCGAGGACAAUGUCCUUAGUGCACCUAUUGGAAUAAGCUUGGUCACACUCGAAAUCAUUGUUAUCAGUUACAUGGGCGGCCUCUUCGGACUGCCCACAUUGCUCAGUCAUCUGAUCCUUUGCUAUCUCAACCUAACUCCACUACGAGCUCCACAUCUCAGAGUAUCACCCUUACUAGUAGUGAUUAUGAUGUCUAUCUCCGAUAUUAGGCAGCCACAUCAGUUUUUGUUGCUUCUGUUGCCCAAACCGGUAAUGUCUUAGUCUUCUUUACUUAGUCUCCUUCUCUUGGCCCAUGGAUUCUAAAUUCUGGAGCAUCUAAUCAUAUCUCUGGUAAUAAACACAUUUUCUCAUCUAUUACUACUACCUCUGCCUUACCUACUAUUAUUUUAGCUAAUGGUUCCCAAACUAUGGCUAAAGGUAUUGGUUUGGCUCAUCAUCUCCCUUCCCUACCUCUCCAUUUUGUCCUUUAUGCCCCUGAGUGUCCUUUUAAUAUUAUUUCCAUCAACAAAAUAACUCACACUCUUAAUUGUUCUAUCACUUUUUUUGAUAAAUCUGUGAUCUUGUAGGACCAGAGCACAGGGAAGACGAUUGGCAUAGGGUGUGAGUCUCAAGGCCUCUAUCACCUCACUUCACCUUCAUCUCCUACAGCUUGCAUUUCCAUCGAUGUUCCUCUUCUCAUUCAUAGUUGUCUGGGUCAUCCUAGUCUCUCCAAGUUCCAAAAGAUGGUCCCUUAUUUUUCCACUUUGUCAUCGCUUGCGUGUGAGUCGUGUAAGCUUGGGAAACAUACUCGUGUCUCGUUCCCAAAGCAUUUGAAUAAUCGGGCAAAGUCUCAUUUUGAACUUGUCCACACUGAUGUUUGGGGUCCAUGUCAGACCACGUCUACUUUAGGAUUUCAGUAUUUUGUCACUUUCAUUGAUGACUAUUUAAGAUGUACUUGGUUAUUUUUAAUGAAAAAUAUAUUUAAGUUAUUCUCUAUUUUUCAGAAAUUUUAUGCUGAAAUCCAAACACAAUUCAAUGUUUCUAUUCAAGUGUUACGCAGUGACAAUGCUCGGGAAUAUUUUUUUACACCCUUUACUUCUUUUAUGUCCCAACAUGGGAUCCUCCAUCAGUCAUCUUGUGCUCAUACUCCUCAACAAAAUGGGGUUGUUGAAUGUAAAAAUCGACAUCUUGUUGAAACAACUUGUACCCUCCUUCUCCAUAGUCAUGUUCCUUUUCGUUUUUGGGGGGAUGUUGUUCUUACAACCUGUUAUUUGAUUAAUUGUAUGCCCUCAUCUAUAUUACAUGACCAAAUCCCUCAUUCCCUCCUUUUUCCUACCCAACCUCUUUAUUUCCUUCUUCCUCGUGUCUUUGGUUGUACUUGUUUUGUUCAUACUCUCACACCUAGACAAGACAAGCUCUCUGCCAAGGUUACGAAAUGCAUUUCUUGGGAUACUCUUGAAUUUAGAAGGGUUAUCGUUGUUAUUCCCCUAACACUCAUCAUUAUUCUCUCCGCUGAUGUCACCUUCUUUAAGGACUCUCUAUUUUUCUUAUCCUUUGAAUCUCUUCCCAUUUCUGAAGUAUUGCCACUUCCCUAUAUAUCUCCCUCUUCCGGUGUGCUCUCUCAUCCUCUUCGGGUUUAUCAUCGUCAACAUCGUGUUGUUGCUCUUCCUCUCUCUUCAGCUGAGGUACCUGAUGACUCACCUCCUGUCCCACCGAUUUCUCCUACCCCGGCCCUGUCAUCUACUAACCAUUUGACUAUUGCUCUUCAGAAAGGUAAUCAAUCUACUUGUAAUUCUCAUCCUAUUUAUAAUUUUUUGAGCUACCAUCGAUUAUCUUCAUCCUAUUCUGCCUUUGUCUCUACUUUAUCCUCUGUUUCUCUUCCUAAGAGUACUAGUGAGGCACUUUCUCAUCCUAGGUGGCGAUAGGCAAUGGUUGAUGAAAUGGUUGCUCUGUACUCCAAUGGCACAUGGGAUCUUGUUUCUUUACCUCCUAGUAAAUCUAUAGUUGGAUGUCAUUGGGUCUACACUGUUAAAGUUGGUCCUGAUGGUCAGGUUGAUCGCCUUAAGGCCCGCUUGGUUGCUAAAGGUUAUACUCAGAUUUAUGGUUGUGACUAUGGUGACACCUUCUCUCCUGUUGCCAAGAUUGCUUUUGUUCGCUUAUUUCUCUCCAUGGCUGCUAUGUGUCAUUGGCCUUUUUAUCAAUUGGAUAUUAAGAAUGCUUUCCUUCAUGGUGAACUUCUCGAGGAAGUGUAUAUGGAGCAACCACUUGGUUUUGUUGCUCAAGGGGAGUCUAGUUUAGUGUGCAAGUUACGCCGCUCUCUAUAUGAAGACAGGGGUCAUACCCAAAUUGUUGGUUACACAGAUGCAGACUGGGCUGGUUCACCCUCAAAUUGGCGUUCCACCUCAAGGUAUUGUGUUUUUAUUGGAGGUAACUUAAUAUCCUGGAAGAAUAAGAAACAAGAUGUAGUGGCCAGAUCAAGCGUCGAAACUGAGUAUCGAGCUAUGGCUUUGGCAACAUGUGAACUCAUAUGGUUGAGGCAACUCCUUCAGGAAUUGAGAUUUGGAAAAGAUGAACAGAUAAAGCUAGUCUGUGACAAUCAGGCCACAUUACAUAUUGCAUCAAAUCCAGUCUUUCAUGAAAGGACCAAACAUAUUGAAGUUGACUGUCACUUCAUUAGAGAGAAGAUCGCAUCAGAGUGUGUUGCUACAAGUUUUGUUAAUUCAAAUGAUCAACUAGCAAACAUCUUCACUAAAUCUCUCAGAGGUCCUAGGAUUAAAUACAUUUGUAACAAGCUUGGUGCAUAUGACAUAUAUGCUCUAGCUUGAGGGGGAGUGUUGAAUAUAAUGCAUUUUUAGUGUACAAGUUUCUUUCCUUUCUUAAUAUAGGUCACAUAUAUGGUAGUUAGUUCAACCUAACCUUGUAUAUAUAUAUUUCUCUAUUGUAAGAAGCUAACAAUAUGAAUGAGAAUUAAGGUUUUCUCUCUCUCUCUCUUUCAACAUUAACCUUACAAGAUAAUUCAAGAAAUAAGUGGCAGUAAUGCUAUUACUUUUAUGAGAAAAUUUUAUUCCUUUUUCAUGUUUACCACAUUUUUUACAUCCAUUGAUGUAAAAAAAGGAGAGAGUGACCAAUGAUAUAUAAAAAUGUUUUGCUCAAGAGCUCUUUCUUACGUGUUGAGUACUAAAUAAUUAAUAUCUUCGUAUAAUAAGAUAGGUUAAUAUCAUUCACUUCUUUUGAAAUUUUGGUUAAAUAUAUUUAAUUUUUAUUGGUUUGAAAUUUUAUCAAAUAACUCUUUUAUCAUUUUUACUUAUUAUUUUACUCACUUUUCUUAUCACUCAAAAUAAGGAGGAUAUUUGAUGAAAUUUCAAAUCAAUGAAGAGUCAAAUAUAUUUAAUCAAAACCUUAAGGGAAGAGGGUUAAAUUAACCCUAACAAAAUUGGUAGUUCAAGGGAUUCAAAAUAGAUCGAUGAAUGCAAGUACCUUGUAACAUCCAAGGAAGAAGUUUGUGAGUGGAGAUAACCCCCUUGAUUCUCAAAAACCAUGCCUAUGAAAAAAUAGAUAGAAUCAUAAAGUUUAGCUCUAAUAGAUUUAGAAGCCUCUUAAAUCCCAAUAUUUUCACUUUUGAUAGAAUUUGUAAAUGUGUAAGCCAUGACAUCACACCUUGCCCUAUAUUCAAUUUGGUCAAUCUUUUUAACUUCAAAAGUUGAAGUACCUUGAGUCGAGAAAACCCAUUUACUGACACUUGCAUUUCCUUUCCAAGGUAUUAGUUUGCCCUUAAUCCAAGAAUCAAUAAUUUCGGAAGCUUCUCCAAAACGGGCAUAGGAUCACAUUCUAGUGAUGGGACUUGGAGGGAAUUGAAGGGCGUCAGGCAAUUUUUGCAUGUGUCCCUUCAUUUCCAACGUAGAGAAAUAGAGCCCAAAGUUCAUAGCAAAGGAUGGAAUGGUAGACCCUUCCGAUGUCUUAAGGAACAAAGGAUUUAAGACAAUGUAACUUGGCAAUGGAGUUUGAAAACCUAACCUCUUCUAUACCAUAUCUUCCUUCUAAUUUCAACUUCUCAAGACAAGUAUUUAACUUGCUUGAAUCAUUUUGGCUCCAUUGCUUGAACCUUAUGCUUGAUAUUGUCUAAAGAUUUUACAAGGUAUCAAUUUGCAAUGGGGCAUCAUCCUCUUGCCCCUCUAUAUAAAGAUAUCGCAAGUUUUUCAUUUUCCAUAUCAUUAGGUUGCCUAUAGAUGGUGGAAGCAUUUUUAAACCAGAAUGCCUUAAUCUCAAGUACCUUAAAUGAAUUAGUGUCCUAACUAUACUUGGUAGGCUUUCAAUUUCCAAACCUUCCAAAUCUAGCACCCAAAGCACUUUGAAGCAUCUGCCAAAAUGUACUUGCAAAAAUUAUUACAAAAAAUGAAAAAAAUGGGUGAAUGACUUUAAUUUCUAAAUUCCAAGAUAGCGUGUCCCAAAACAAUUAUUUGCCAUUAUUUGAAACUACUCAUUCAUGACGAACAAAAUUUAUAUCUGUAUUGGGAAUAGUAAUUGUUUUUCAUAAGCCCCAUACAAAAAUUUGAAAGCAAUAUGGCCGAAAAAUUAUUUAAAUUGGCACCACCAUGGUUAUUUAGCUCCCAAACCUACCAAUCUUUUUAAUAUAUAUAUAUAUAUAUAUAUAUAUAUAUAUAUAUAUAUAUAUAUAUAUAUAUAUAUAAAUGAUUAUUUAAAAAAUAAAUAUAAAAAUGGAGUCUUUUUUAUCAUUUGUUUUAUUUUUGCAUCAAAUUUGUUUCUUUAAAACAAAUUUACUUUUUAUAUUGAUCUCUUAUUUUGAAAAAAUGAAAAAUCACUUUUACAUUAAAUUGUUUUUUAAAAAGAUAGGUUCAUUUUUUUUACAUUGAAAAGUUUUAUACAAAAUAAGUUCACUUCUUUAUCACUGAACUUGCAUUUUUUUUUUUUUUUUUAAGACAGAUCUAUUACUCCCAUUUGGCCAUUACUCCCAUUUGGGGCAAGUCGAUGUAGGUAAGGUUUAGCAUUGCCAUUACUCCCAUUUGGCCUUCUUUAGCAAGGUAUGCAGUAAUGUUAUCGUGCACCUUCUCCCAUUCUGUAUGUGACAUAUUUCUUGACAGCAAACCCCCCAAUACAACGAUGGCCAAUGGCAAACCAUUACAUUUGUCCACCAUCUCUUCCCCAAGUUCCUUCAAAUCUGGAGGAUAGCUCUUAACAUCAACAUCAAGGAAAGCCUUUCGACUAAACAAGUCCCAGCUCUGUUGUUUCUAAAGAAGCCGCAUUUCAUGGGCAAUAGUUCGAGCAUCUGCAUGAAAAGCAACAUCCUUAUAUCGAGUUGUAAGAAGUAAUCUGCUGCCGUUACUCCCAUCGGGAAAAACAUUUCCAGGGCAGUCAGGAUCGUUGCUGCUCACUUUUGCAAGAAAAUCCCAAUCGGCACACCUCCAUACAUCAUCCAGAACUAUCAAAUAUCUUUUCUCCUUCAAAUGAUCAUGAAGGAAAUCCCCCAACUCGUUCUCUCCAUACUUCUCUAUCAUUUCUGCUUGCUCUUUAGUUGGUGCAGAAACCUGGUUAAUAAUUUGCAUAUAAACCUCUCUGGGUCUACAAUCUUGGGAUACAUAAACCCAGGCACGACAAUCUGGAAAGUGUUUCACAAUUUCUUCAUGAUUAUAGACCUUCUUGGCAAGGGUGGUUUUGCCUAUGCCGCCCAUUCCUACCAAAGAAAUCACGCGGCGCCUUUGGUCUCCUGCGGUGAGCUGCUUCACUAGCUUAUCUGCCUCCUCUGUAAGGCCCACGAUGACACGUUCUUCUGCACCAGGAGAGGAGCGUCUUAGAUUCUGCAACAUUGGACCCGAACCGCUUCUUCCUUCUCCAGUAUUUUUUAUUCCGAGAGCCUCCCGCCUAUUUGAGAUGUCUUGGAGGGUCAGUUGGAUGUCUUCAAUUUUCUUGCCAACUUUAUGGCGGUUUAUCAACUUCUUGAAGACACGCUUGAGAAAGUAGUCUGUUCUCAGGGACUAUGCCUUCAGGAUGAACAUGUCUAUGAUGUCCUCAACAUCAUAAAUCGCAUCACGGAUUUCGGAAACCCAGUUGCGCACUCUUAAAUCUUCUUCUUGCUUCUUCUCCGCUUCUUCCAAGAAGCAUUUCAUGGCCCCUAGAUCUUUCUGCAGCCUAUCGACUUUCCCCCGGACCCCCUUCAAGAAAAUUGCUUCUUGAAUGAGCAUGUCACCGAUCUUUUCAACGGCAAAGGAAACCACAGCCUGUGUCGCCAUUGUAGUGUUCUCUCACCGACCCUCUUAACUUUGGAUGGAACUGAUUCUCUCAAGAAGGAAAUACUCAAGUUUUGGAGCUAUCGAACUUCCUUUAAUACUAGCAUGGAGCUUCCUUUCACUAUGGGAAUCAAACACCUUGAUUGCGCAAUAAUUUGUUGUUACAUAGCAUUUAGGGAAUUAGAAAAAUUAUGGAGAUUGUUUGAGAUUCCCUUGAAUCAAAGGAUGGGAAGUGAAUGGCAGAGAUGCAUGAGCUGGACUUCAUUUUGAUCAGCAAUCAUCCAUAAUAUAAUAUACAGCAACAUGGCAAUAAAUAACGUCAUUUAUUCCCAUACAUAAUAAGUCAAUAACUGACAAUUCACCUGCCAGCAAAGAAAGCCACAGCUGGCCAAGUGGGGUUUUUACUCGUUAGGUAUGGGAGAUGCAAAGGACUUCGGAUGUUUUUUUAAUUUACAUUACCUUCCCUCCGCGUUUAGAUUCAUCACAUGCACCGCUUUUAAUUUCUAAUGUUAUAUUCAUCAAGAACGAUAUUGAUUUUUCUCCAACUCACCACUUUUUUCCAAAUGCAUGCCCUUUGAAAUUUAAUAAAAUGAAAAACAUCAAUCUACACAAAUGUUUUUAAAAACAAUUUUUUAUUAUCCAAACUAAAACAAAACAAAACAAUCAAAUAAUAGAAAGCGGUUUUAUAUUCUUAAAAAAUAUAUAUAUAUAUAAUGUUUUUAAAAGAGCAUUUUUUUAGUUAUUUUUAUUUUUAAAUUUUUAAAUAACUAUUUUAAAAAAUAAUUAUAUAAAUAUAGAGAGUGAUUAAAAAUAAAAUAUUAUUAAUAAAAUUUAUUUUUAAAAUAUAUUUAAAAAUAUAAAAAAUAUGACUUAUCUAAAAACUUACAUUUGCAAUACCCAAAAAAGCUAGUCCAGGGAACAGGGGUCCAAAAGAUAAGUAACGACACUAGCUAUUUGACUUAUUUUUAAGGAAAGUUAAACCAUUGACUAAAACAAGAUUGGCUUCACAACCAUUACAAGCAGGACACUUUCCAAUAAGACUACUGCAUUAAACACAUGGAAAUAAUGCUUAGAUGAAUUACUGAGACAAGAUCUUUAGGAUUCAAUGCCAAGCUUGAAAGGAUAAACAAGAAGAAAUCUCAUUGAUGUUUUCAAGCACUACAAUCAGCCCAAUUUGGAAAUCGGGUGCAAAUAUCUAAAAAGACCUUCAAAAAAGCAUCUUUCCAAAUAUAAUAAACUUGCAGGAAGAUACUACAUAUAAUAAAAGUCAUAAAUAAGAAUAUAUAAUAAUUCAGUACGUUCAUUCAAGAGUUUCUUCAACUAAGUAGAACUCCAAGCAGAGCUCUCUGUGCCGUGAAGGGAUUUCAUGUUCUGGAUGUAUCCCAAAACAACUACUCGCCAUUAUUCGAAACUAUUCAUUGGCAAAUACAAUUUGUAGUAGGGGUUUUACAAUCAUAAAUGGAUGGUAUAGCUUGAUUCAGUCAUGCUCGGUUUGCCGAGAUCAAACAUGCAUUAUAAUCCUUCUGCUAUCCUCCCAUUACAAACAAUGGUAUUUGAGAAAAAUAGAGCCAAUCAAAUUUUAGCCAUCCAAUAAUUUUUGGGCAUUAGUAUUUCACAAGUACUUGCCUGGUCUUCAUUUAACCAUGUGUGAUCAGUGGCCAUGAUUCAGCUUUCCUCUUUCCCGGCCCAUAGGUUUCUUGUGGAUUCCACGUUCUAGGAAGGAACCUAACUCUUUGACAGCCUGUCUAUAGCUCGCUGAUGUUUGACCUGUUGCAGCACAUGUCUGAGUAUCACUAGUCCAACUUUUUAUGUAACUGAAGUAAACACGCGUACAUGUACUAGGAAUCUAAUAGUAAGUAUACGAGCUUGGGCUUCUCUCUGGCAUCAUUGUUAUGCAAAUUAAAGAACUACGAAUAAUACUUGGCCAUGAACUACUCGGCUGGGUUGAUUGAAAUCACAUCCAACUAAGGGAAUAAAAACAUAUAUACACACCCAAAAAUCAUCCAGGGUAAGAGGGGGUUCCAGGCUCACCUUUUUGACGGCAAAACUGAAUUUCAACCAUAUUUGUACCGAAUAACCUGAAAUAAAUGGAAAACCAAAUAAGACAUGUUAGCUGAAUAAAAAGAACAAAAUAAUAAUAAUUUAAAAAGAAAAAAUCAACGUUACAAUGUUGAACAGAUAUAAUUUGAGUUAUUUGAACUUUUUACUUUAUAUUUGGAAAGUUAAUGUCAGUGCUAUUUUUCUAGUAUGGAUUGGAUAUAUAAAAAAACAUUUGCAUUUGUUUUGCUUUUUAAAUUGGUAGAUGCAAUUAAGAUUAUUACAUGUGCAAAAGUGAUGAAACUAAAAAAAUGUGAGAGAGAGAGAGAACGGCAUAGGGCUCAAUGUGUACAAAUUAAAGAGGCGGGAAUAUGGUCUUAAAGAUCCCCAACAUGUAUUUCAUUUUCAAAUAUGCUAUAAAUUUAUUUUAAAAAAAUUAUAAUUAAAAAAUGUGGCAUGAAUAAUAAUAUCGGUCUUACAUGUUAAUUCAAUAAAUAAGUGAUAGGUAGUAAUUCUAGACUUUUACAAACAUAUAUUCUAUCACUUUUUUAUACUUACUCAUUUUUUACAUUCAUUCAUAUAGGAAGGGGGGGGAGUGAUCAGUGACAUAAAAAAAUUCAGUAUAAGAACUCCUUAUAUGUUAAUUAUAUAACCAAUAUAUUGAGGUAUAACAAAAUUGGUAACUGAAGGGAGCCAAAGUAGAUAGGUGAAGUUAUUUACCAUGUACGAUCCCAAAGACGAAUUCUAGCCAUUUCGUGCCAGAAAAGAGUUUUCAACAAGGAAACCGCAAUUUUUACCUCCACCAAAUUUUGCAGCUCAUCAAGUCCCGAGAACUUUGUUUCAAAAUACAAUUGUAGUUGCAUAAGCCAUGGCAUUGAGCCUUUCUCUAUAUUCAACUUGUUCAAUUCCCUCAACUCAAAAAGUUGAAGUACUUUGAGUUGAGGGAACCCAUUUGCAAAUACAUGCAUUUCCUUUCCAAGAUAUGACUUAGCCCUUAAUCUAAGAGUCAACAAUUUUGGCAACUUCUCCAAAACAACCAUAGGAUCACGAUCUAGCCUGGAUGCUUCCAAUGUCAAUUGUGUCAGACUUUGUGAGAAUUCAUGGAUUUUAGGGAAUUUUUGCAUGUAUCCCUUUAUGUCCAACUUAGAGAGAUGGAGGCAAGAGUUGAUGGCAAGGGGUGGAAUGCUGGACUCACCUGAUGUCGUAAGGUACAAGGAUUUAAGACUAAGUAGCUUAGCAAUGGAGUUUGAAAACUCAACUCCUUCUACCUCACACCUUCCUUCUAAUUUCAAUUUCCCAAGACAAGUUAAGUUGCCGGAAUUGUUCUUGAUCCAUUGGUUGAAGGUUAUGCCAGAUAGAAUUUGAAGAUUUUGCAACGUAUCAAUUUGCAGUGGAACAUCCUCCUUUUGCCCCUCAAUAUAAAGAUAUCUCAUGUUUUUAAUCUUCCAUAACACAUUUGGCACUUGUUUAAGAUUGUUUAUAUCCAAAGUCUGUAAACUCCUUAGGUUGCCUAUAGAUGGUAGAAGCAUUUUUAGACCAGUAUGCCUUAAUCCCAAGUACCUUAAAUGAAUCAGUUCUCCAAUCAUACUGGGUAGGCAUUCAAUUUCUAAACCUUCCAAAUCUAACACUCUAAGCACUUUGAAGCAUUUGGCAAUGAAAUCUAGUUGUGAUGCUCUACAAUUUUUCCCCAAAUUGAAAAAUAAGAGAGAGCGAAGAUAUGGAGUUAAAUGUUCAAUGCAAGCAUACCUCUCAAAUUCGGAAUAAAUACUUCGUCGACGGGAUUUAGGUGAAAAGAGAGAUAAACUGGUGGAGGGGGAUAGAGGAUCUGCGAUAUUAGUUCCAAUGAAGUUUUGCUCUUUUGCCUUUUCAAUAGCCAACUCUCGUACAAGGUCAUGAACCCGACAUUCCAUAACCCUUGCGUUAACACUCAUUCUCACUACUUGAAUCAAGUUUCUAUUGAUUAACUCAUUCAAGCAAACCUCAGCCAUGUCUUUCAUUCUUCGGUCAUCUUGUUCUGGCACAAAACCCUCAGCAGUCCAUAAAAGGAGCAGUUUUCUUGAGGAGAUCACAUAAUCUUCUGGGAAGAGGCUUAAAUGAAGAAAGCACGGUUUCAAGUAAUGGGGCAAGUCGAUGUAGCUCAGGUUUAGCAUUGCCUUUACUCCCAUUUGGCCUUCUUUAGCAAGGUAUGCACUAAUGUUAUCGUGCACCUGCUUCCAUUCUGUAUGUGACGUAUUUCUUGACACCAAACCCCCCAAUACAACGAUGGCCAAUGGCAAACCAUUACAUUUGUCCACCAUCUCUUCCCCAAGUUCCUUCAAAUCUGGAGGAUAGCACUCGGUAUCAGCAUCAAGGAACGCCUUCCUACAAAACAAGUCCCAGCUCUGUUGUUUCGAAAGAAGCCGCAUUUCAUGGGGAAUAGUUCGAGCAUCGGCAUGCAAAGCAACAUCCUUAUAUCGAGUUGUAAGAAGUAAUCUGCUGCCGUUACUCCCAUCGGGAAAAACAUUUCCAAGGCAAUCAGGAUCGUUGCUGCUCACUUUUGCAAGAAAAUCCCAAUCAGCACACCUCCAUACAUCAUCCAGAACUAUCAAAUAUAUCUUUUCUCCUUCAAAUGAUCGUGAAGGAAAUCCCCCAACUCGUUCUCUCCAUACUUCUCUAUCAUUUCUGCUUGCUCUUUAGUUGGUGCAGAAACCUGGUUAAUAAUUUGCAUAUAAACCUCUCUGGGUCCACAAUCUUGGGAUACAUAAAUCCAGGCACGACAAUCUGGAAAGUGUUCCACAAUUUUUUCAUGAUUAUAGACCUUCUUGGCAAGGGUGGUUUUGCCUAUGCCGCCCAUUCCUACCAAAGAAAUCACGCGGCGCCUUUGGUCUCCUGCGGUGAGCUGCUUCACUAGCUUAUCUGCCUCCUCUGUAAGGCCCACGAUGACACGUUCUUCUGCACCAGGAGAGGAGCGUCUUAGAUUCUGCAACAUUGGACCCGAACCGCUUCUUCCUUCUCCAGUAUUUUUUAUUCCGAGAGCCUCCCGCCUAUUUGAGAUGUCUUGGAGGGUCAGUUGGAUGUCUUCAAUUUUCUUGCCAACUUUAUGGCGGUUUAUCAACUUCUUGAAGACACGCUUGAGAAAGUAGUCUGUUCUCAGGGACUAUGCCUUCAGGAUGAACAUGUCUAUGAUGUCCUCAACAUCAUAAAUCGCAUCACGGAUUUCGGAAACCCAGUUGCGCACUCUUAAAUCUUCUUCUUGCUUCUUCUCCGCUUCUUCCAAGAAGCAAAUGUUUUUAAAAACAAUUUUUUAUUAUCCAAACUAAAACAAAACAAAACAAUCAAAUAAUAGAAAGCGUUUUCUAUUCUUAAAAACAAAAAAUAUAAUGUUUUUAAAAGAGCAUUUUUUUACUUAUUUUUAUUUAUUAAUUUUUAAAUAAAUAUUUUAAAAAAUAAUUAUAUAAAUAUAGAGAGUGAUUAAAAAUAAAACAUGACGGAUAAAAUUUAUUUUUAAAAUAUAUUUAAAAAUUUUAAAAAUAUGGUAAGCAUAUUUCAAAUUCUCAAAUAGAUUCGCUUUAUAAAAUAUUAAAGAACAAUAAUUUCUUUCAAAACUAUUAUUAAAAUCACUUUCCAAACAAAAAUUAAAAGUGUAUUUUUUGAAGUCACUUCCCUCAUUUUGAAAAUGUUUGUAUGUGCAUAAGAUAAUCACAAAAUAUUUGCCAUAAAAAAUUUACCAUGGAUGUGAAGUCAUAAUUGUAAAAUAUAUUUUUACUAAAUAUAUGCAAUUGAGGUAAUUAAAAAAAAAAACAUUUCAAACUUAAGAAUAAGUUAAAUAUUUUGACUGAAUACUUAAAUUUAUUUUUAGUUUUAAGUCAUGAUAUUAAGUUAUUUUUUCAAAUUAAUUUGAUUCACCUCACUUGAGUUUUUGACUAAAUACACAAAAUUAUCAUUGGUUUGAAAUUUUAUCAAAUAUUUAAUUUAUCAUUUUCAUUUGUUAUUUUUACUUAUCUUCUCUAUCACUCAAAAUAAGGAAGAUAUCGAAUGAAAUUUCAAACCAAUGAAAUCCAAGUAUAUUUAACUAAAAUCUCAUAAAAGAUGAAUGAAGUUAACCCGUAUUUUACCAAAAUAUACAUAAUCUAUUUAAUAACUUGAAUUAAAUUAUUAAGUCAUUAUCUUGAUUUAUCAUAACCACUCAAUUUGGUUACUAAUUCUUCUUACAGAAAAUUAAAGAAACUGCAACCCUUAAUUUCCAUCGUGAUGCACAGUUUCUUACUCCCCUUGAUGAAUGACAAUCUCUAGGGGAAUGACAAGGAGAAAGUGCCCAUGCAGAUCAAGUUUUCUAGGUUUGACAAAACCAUGUUAUAGAGGAAUGCCAGAGAUGCAUGAGCUGGACUUUAUUUUGAUUAAGUCAUCGCCCAUUAUAUAAUAUGCAGCAACAUCAUUGACUAAUAGUUUUCAACAUCAUUUGGUUGCAUCACGUUCCAAUAAACAAUCAUUCACGUAAUUGAAAUUUAAUAAUUAUUAUUAUCAUCCAUAAUAUAAUAUGCAGCAACAUCAUUAGCUAGUAGUUUUCAAGAUCAUUUGGUUAUUCAUGUUCCCAUAAAUAAUCAUUCAAAUAAUUGAAAACUUAUUAUUAUUAUUAUCAUCAUUCUUAUUAUUAUGCUACAAAGGUGAUAGAAAAAUUGGAAUUUGGGGUCAAAAUGGCCCUUUAUUAAAAAAAAAUUGUAACAUCUAGGCACUUAUUGAAACUUAUGUUCAAAAUGACCUCUUUAGUGACACGUAGGCAUUGUGUCAUUAAAAAAUAUUUUUUUUCAUCAUUUUAGUUGAAGCUGCAGUUGGCAAAUGAGGCUUCAUUUUUGAACUGAAGCCUCAAUUGCCAAAUGAGGCUUCAUUUUUGAACUAAUGAAGCCUCAUUUUCCAACUACGACUUUAGUUCAAAAAUGAAAUCUCAUUUGCCAACUAAGGUUUUAAUUAAUUAUUUUUUAAUUUAAAAUUUAAUUAAAAAAUAUUAAAUUAUAAAUUGAAAUUUUAAAAAUAUACUUAAAUAAUAAAUUAUUUAUACUUAAACUUAAAAAUCUACUAUUACUUCAACAAACAUAAAUUGAUAAAUAGAAGAUAUUAUAUUUAUCUUCUAUGUUCACAUGUUCACAUGGGGGUCCCGAAAGCAUUAGGAUCGAAUGUGAACAUGGAUGAUCCACAAUUUCAUUUAGAAACCCAUAACAAAGUGAUUAUAGGUUGAGCCACAAUUUCUUUAAAUAAUUAAAAUUAUUAACAAUUUAUCUAAUCAAAUUAAUUUUAAGUUAUAAAAUAUUAGCACUUCAUUAUUUUUUAAAAUUUAUUAAUUUAUUAAUAAAUAAAAAUAUUUAUUUAUAAUAUCUUCUAUUUAUCAAUUUAUGUUUGUUGAAGUAAUAGUAGAUUUUUAAGUUUAAAUAUAAAUAAUUUAUUAUUUAAGUAUAUUUUUUAAAUUUCAAUUUAUAAUUUAAUAAUUUUUAAAUAAAUUUUAAAUUUAAAAAAAAAUUAACUAAAGCCUCAGUUGGCAAAUGAGACUUUAUUUUUGAACUGAAGCCGCGGUUGGCAAAUGAGGCUUCAUUUUUAACUGAAACUGCAGUUGGCAAAUGAGGCUUCAGUUCAAAAAUGAGGUCUCAUUUGCCAACUGCGGCUUUAGUUCAAAAAUGAAGUCUCAUUUGCCAAUUGCGACUUCAACUAAAAUGACAAAAAAAAAAAAAAAAAAUUCAAUAACAUGGCACCUACGUGGCACUAAAGAAGCCAUUUUGAACAUAAGUUUCAAUAAGUGCCCAUAUGUUACAAUUUUUUUAAUAAAAGGGUCAUUUUGACCCCAAAUUCGAAAAAUUGCAAAUGAAAGUAUAUUAUUUUCUAUUUUCUAUUUUAUAUUUUAUAUACAUAUAUAUAUAUACCGAAAUAAAAGCCCUUUUUUUUAACUACCAUAUCAUCUUACAAUAAUGAAAAAAGAACCAACUUUAGAUCUAAUUGGUUAAUAUUCACUAGUAAAAUUAAUGAAAUAAAUAUUUUACUUGAAAAAAUUAAGACUUGGGGUUGCAAUUUGGAUGGGUUGAGUAGAUUAGAAGCCAAUCACACCAAGUUUGAUUAUCAAUAUUUUCAAUUAAUACUAAAUCUAACCCAACACCAAGUUUGAUUAUCAAUAUUUUCAAUUAGUACUAGGAGUCUGAUUAAUAGUGAUUCUAAAAAACCACAUAUUGACCUUCUCUUAAUUGAUUGAGUCAUCGAACCCCUAGGUAGCACUUUCCUUUAAUACUAACAUGGAGCUUCCUUUCAUUUUGGGAAUCAAACACCUUUCUUGCGCAAUAAUGUGUUCUUACAUAGCAUUUGGGGAAUUGGAAAAGUUAUGCAGAUUGUUUGAGAUUCCUUAAAUCAAAGGAUGGGAAAAAGUAAUUUAUGUGAAGGGCAGAGAUGCAUGAACUGGACUUAAUUUUGAUGAGCAUUUACCCAUAAUAUAAUAUACAGCAACAUGGCAAUAAAUAAUGUCAUUGCACACCCUGUUGGCAAGAGUAGUUUUGCCGAUGCCCCAAGUCCUGCAUUAAAAACCACCCAUCAUUUUUUCUCUUUGGUUGUGUUGCCUUGCAUUGCAUCUUGUAGAAAGCACUGCAUCCCCUUCAAGAAAACUGUUUUUUGGAAAGAAGUAGCAUCUUCAUCAAGUGUUUCAGUUAGUCAAACUCAACCCAGUGCCAAAAUCCCCUGUUUUUUAACUCUCUAAAUUCCCUGUGUUUUGGUGUCAUUGGGCAAGUAAGCAAUACUUGAAAAAAAGAACCAUGUUCGAAACUAUUCAUUCACAAACACAAAUAGGAGAAUUCUAGUCUUAUAUCCCAAAACAACUACUUACCAUUAUUCGAAACUAUUCAUUCACAAACACAAAUUGUAGUAGGAGUCAUGCUCUGCUUGCAGAGAUCAAACAUAUGCAUCAUAAUCCUUCAGCGUUACAAACAAUGAUAAUUGAAAAAAAAAAAGUCAACAAGCUAGCCUGUCACUUGUCAUACAUCAUGUGAUUUCGGGCUUGAGUAUUUGACAAGUGCUUGCAUGCCUUGGAUGAGUGGUGUAUAAGGGUUUGCAUGGUCUUCAUUUAACCAUGUGUGAUCAGUGGCCAUGAUUCAGCUUCUCUCUAUCUGCGUAAGUUUCUUGACACGUUCUAGGCAGGAAGCUAAAUUUUCAACUGCCUGUCUAGAGGAUUCUAAUGUUUGACCUACUGCAGCACAGGUCAUGAGUAUCACUAACCCAACUUUUAGAAGUAAGCAAGCAUAUAUGUAAUGACCGGGUAUUUUAUGCCACGUUAGCAAUUUUAGUCUAAAAAUUCUUAUUUUGUGUGAUGGUUGAAAAGUCAAAAAGAAAAGUGUUUGGAGAACACAUGUCAAUUUCGGAUUGGUAAAGUUCGUUUUAUUGUGUCGGUCAAUUAAACGAGUUGAAAAUUUUAUGUCAUGUCAGCCUUAGGAUAGAAAAUUCUUAGGAUUUUAGAAAUUGGAAAUUUCCGGGAACGAAAAACAAAAACGAAAAUGAAAAAUAAAUAAAUUAAGAUUAAUUAGAAUUAAUUAAGAAAAAUAAAUUAAUUAAUUAAAUUAAAUUGAUGAAUAAUAAUAUUGAGAAAAUUAGUUUUUAUUUGGUGUUAAUAAAUAAAAUUGUGUGUUAAAAUGAAAAAAAAAUGAAUUGAAAAUUAAAUAAAACAAUUAGAAUAAAAUAAAAGAAAUAAAAUAAAUAUAUUCAAUGGGCUUUGAAUAUGGGUUGUUAAGGUAAUGGGUUGUAAAAGAAAAAAAAUUUAAUGGAGUUGGGCUUAAGUGGCUGGUGGCUUUUAAAAGCCUAGUGGGCUGUUAAUAAAAAGAAAGAAAAAAAUGGGUUGGGCUUUUGAAGUUUGGGCCAGGCUUGUGUGGCUGGAUGGUUAGUAAAAAGAAAAAAAAAAAAAAAAAAAGGAAAAGGGGGAGAAUUGCAGCACGCGGGGGCGGUGAGAGAGAGAGAGGUUACUGUGCAUAAAUUAGGGCACUCGCCGGAAUUUUGAUCGGCCGUUUGGACGGCCAAACGAUCUCUGUUUCGGCCCAAUUCGGAGGAAGUACUCUAUUCGACUAGACGAACAACCCUGCGGUGGCUGAUUUUGUUUUUAACGGCCAAAUUUUCAGAUCUGAGGUAGGGGACCCUAACCCUAAAACUUAAAUUUUUAUGUUUUUUCCUUGAGAAAAAAUUGUAGAUAUUGUCAUUUUGAGUUAAUUAGGAAUUAUAGGUGUUGUAUGAAUUUUUCUAGAAUAUUUGGAAUUUGUUUGGAAUUUUUUGAAUUUCGGGAAAUUGAUUUUGAUUGAUAAUUAAUUGUUUUGAAAUGUAAAAAAAUUAUUAGAUGGGUUGGAAAAUUCCAAAAUUUGGGUUAAAUUUCAAAUAUAAUGAUUUGUGAAAUUUUAGGCAUUGGUUAGAAUAUUUUUGAAAAUUUUAGGGUAAAUAGUUAGUUAAUUUUGGAUAUUAGAAAUUGUUAUAAUGGUUGAAAAAUUUUGUAAGUGUGGUAAAAUCUCAAGAUUUUGAUAUGCAAUUUUUUUUGAAUAUUUAUUUGGGAUAUUAUCGGAAAUUGUAAUGUGUGAAAUUAUUUUUUUGGACUAUUGGGGAAUGUUGAGAUUGUUGAAUUAUUGAGGAACAUUAGAAUUGUGGCAUUCAUUUGCAUCAUGGUUAUGUGAAAAAGAUAAAUAAAUGAAUGAAAUAGAGAUGAGAAGUGGAAGCCCGUGUGGGGCAAAUUAAGAAGGGAGAGAGAUCCCUAGGGUGAAAGACCCAAAAGUUUACCCCGGGAAGACUCCGAAUGGGGAGUGUAUUUGGGUGCGGACGCGUAUCCUUCGGUGAAAGCCCGAGAACAAUAGUGCAUUGUAUGACUGUGUGUCACACGUUCAUGUGCAUUCAUGUAAUUGUUGAAUAUUGUGAAAUUGUGUAUAAUAUCAUAUAUUAAACUAUGUGAUUGAUUGAUAUUGUUGAAUUGUUCCUUUUGUGUUGAAGUGUCCUUUCCGUAUUCUUUGAAACAUAGUAAUCCCCUUAACCCCUUGGGUGCUAGGCACCCUACUGAGCAUUGUGGAAAUGCUCACCCCUUCCUUGUUAUACAUUUUUAGAUGCAGAUAUCUCUCCUGAGGAUCCACAGGUGGGGCAGGGAGAACUUCAGGACACUCUUGGAGCGGCCUAGUGGAGCUUGACAUUUUUUUUAUUAUUGUGUUUCUUUUUGGAUUUUGGGAUUUGUUUUAGUAAUUAUGACUCAUGGGCUUGUUAUGAAGCUUUAUUUUGAUUAAGUUGUUAAUUGUGAACUUUAUUUUGGACUAUAAUGAAUAUUUAUUUAAUCUUGUUGUUUUGAGUAGUUUGGGGAUAUUGAGGUUUAUGAGAAUUCUAGUGGGAUGUAAAAAAAAAAAAAAAAAAUCCAGAGUGUUUUGGUUGACUGCCAACGUGGAAUAGUAGGAACCCUUAGGGUCAAACCUUUGACCUGGGGUCACGGGUCAAAUUUUGGGUCGCCCGGAAUUUGGGUCGUGACAGCGUGGUAUCAGAGCCAAGGUUGCAAUAAUACCUUGGGAUCAAUGUUUGUGGGUGUUUAUGUGUGUCGUGAUGUUAUGAUUUUUGUAUGUGUUAAUUAUCAAGUUGAUGAUUAAUUGAAUUAUGUAUUGAGAGCGUAUGAAAGUGAAAGUUUUGAUAAUUGUUGAAGUUGUUAAGUGUGUAUAUGGGAAAUUUAUUUUUGCUCACCUUGGUAAUGUGGUUGGAUUAGGGUUUGUUAAACUUGAAAUGGUGGGACUGGACAUACCUGAGGAAAGAAGGGUAGGUCUGGCAACAUAUAUGCUUGUGGACAAAGCUGAUUUCUGGUGGGAAUCAAUGAAAAGGGUGUAUGACACUGAGGUUAUGACCUGGGAGGAAUUUGAGAGAAUCUUCCUAGGCAAGUAUUUUGGGGAAGUGGCUAAGCAUGCCAAGAGGAUGGAGUUUGAGCACCUCAUCCAAGGAACCAUGUCAGUGCUGGAGUAUGAGUCACGUUUCUCAGAGUUGUCUCGUUUUGCUUUGGGGAUGAUCAGUGAGGAAGGAGAAAAGGCUAGGAGGUUCCAGUAGGGGUUGAGGCCUGCUAUUAGGAACAGAUUAGUCCCACUGGCAAUAAGAGAUUAUUCUGAGUUGGUUAAGAGGGCUUUGUUGGUGGAGCAGGACAUUGACGAAACCAACCAAAUUCGAGAGCAAAAGGGGGACAAAAAAGGGAAACAAAGAAUGGGGGAAAGUUCCCAGGGGCCACAGCAGAGGUAGAGGACUCAGCAGUUUGAGAGGCGUCCCUCGUUCUAUGCAGGAGAGGGGCAGAUUGCUCAGAGGGUGGCUGCUAAUAGAGUAUGUUAUGGUUGUGGAGCAGGAGACCAUUUAUGGAGGGCUUGCCCAUUGCGAGGCACACAGCAGGCUCGACCUCAGUCUCAGGGAAGUUCUCAGCAACAGUCAGUAGUGUCUUUCCAGCCUCCUCAGUUUCAGUUGCCUUACUAUCAGAUGCCACAAUUACCCCCAGCAGCGCAGGGAACCAGGACAACUACUACGAGUCAGACCCGUUCUUCUCAAGGGUCGAAUGCUAGAGGUAGGGGAAGGCCGGCAGCAGGAAGAGUUUUUGCCUUGACCCCAACAGAGCCAGAUGAGAACGCCCUUUUGGUGGAAGGUAUGAUUUUGGUAUAUAGUACUUGGGUGCGUGUUUUGUUUGAUACUGGUGCAACUCAUUCUUUCAUUUCUGCAUCUUGUGCUAAUGCAUUGGGGUUGAAAUCGGAAAGGGUAGAGAAUUUGUUACUUAUUGAGUCUCCUAUGGGUACGAACUCUAGAGUUGAUAGAAUAUGCAAGGGGUGUGUUAUUACCUUGGCAGAUAGAGCACUAAAUGUGGAUUUGAGGAUUUUGGAUAUGAUUAGGUAUGAUGUUAUUUUGGGAAUGGAUUGGUUGGCAGUGUAUAGAGCGGUUAUUGAUUGUCAUCGCCGCAGGAUAAUAUUUUGUUUGCCAAAGGGAUUUAAGGUUUGUUUUGUUGGAGGGAAGUGUGUUAGUUUGCCUUUUUCGCAGUCCGAUCCGUGCUAUCAGUAUGUGUUGAGGAAGGGAUCAAUAAAUUUCCUAGCUUGCCUUCGUGGUAAGGAGAAAGCCCAGAAGGACAUUACAGAAAUUCCAGUGGUGAGGAAGUUUCAGGAUGUAUUCCCAGAUGAGUUACCAGGUUUACCACCGCAUAGAGAGUUUGAUUUCUCUAUUGAAGUAUACCCAGGAACUGAUCCUAUUUCAGUAUCCCCUUAUAGGAUGGCCCCUCUUGAGUUGAAAGAAUUGAAAACUCAGUUAGAUGAAUUGUUGGGUAAGGGUUUUAUUCGUCCAAGUACAUCGCCAUGGGGAGCCCCAGUGUUGUUUGUGAAGAAGAAUGAUGGUAUACUAAGGUUAUGUAUUGACUAUAGGAAGUUGAAUAGAGUUACUAUGAAGAACAAGUAUCCUCUUCCAAGGAUAGAUGACUUGUUUGAUCAGUUGAAGGGUGCAAAGUAUUUUAGUAAGAUUGACUUGAGAACUGGGUAUCAUCAAUUGAGGGUUAGGGAAGAAGAUGUUUCUAAAACUGCUUUUAGAACGAGAUAUGGGCAUUAUGAGUUCUUAGUCAUGCCUUUUGGGCUAACUAAUGCCCCUGCUGCUUUCAUGGAUUUAAUGAACAGGGUAUUUCGUGCUUACUUGGAUCAGUUUGUGAUUGUCUUUGUGGAUGACAUCUUGAUCUACUCUAGGAGUUUGGAGGAGCAUAAGCAGCAUUUGGUGAUCACCCUUGGAACUUUGAGAAGGCAUCAGUUUUAGCAGUAGACCAUUCAAAGGUGGAAGCUGUACAGGAGUGGCAAAGGCCUACCAAUGUAUUUGAGGUUAGAAGUUUCUUGGGGUUGGCUGGAUAUUAUAGGAGGUUUGUGGAAGACUUCUCUAGAAUUGCAGCACCAAUGACUCGGUUGACUAGAAAAGGGGUGAAGUUUGAUUGGAAUGAGGAGUGUGAGAAUGCUUUCCAAGAGUUGAAGCGGAAAUUGACCACUACUCCAGUGUUAACUGCUCCUAUUAGUGGAGAGUUGUUUACAAUUUAUUGUGAUGCUUCCACAGUGGGGUUAGGGUGUGUGCUAAUGCAGCAAGGCAAGGUGGUAGCUUAUGCCUCAAGACAAUUAAAGCAGCAUGAGCGGAAUUAUCCAGCACAUGAUUUGGAGCUUGCAGCAGUGGUGUUUGCCCUUAAGACUUGGAGACACUAUUUGUAUGGAGAGAAGUUUGAGGUGUACUCUGAUCAUAAGAGUUUGAAAUACAUUUUCACUCAAAAGGAUCUGAACUCUAGGCAGAGGAGAUGGAUGGAGACAUUGGAAGAUUAUGAUUUUGCCCUUCAUUACCAUCCUGAGAAGGCGAAUGUUGUAGCAGAUGCUUUGAGUAGAAAGAGCUAUGGCCAGUUGUCUAGCUUGGGGUUGAGAGAGUUUGAGAUGCAUGCAGUUAUUGAGGACUUUGAGCUAUGUCUUAGUCAGGAAGGACGUGGUUCAUGCUUGUACAGCAUAUCAGCUAGACCAAUGGUUAUCCAGAGAAUAGUGGAGGCCCAAGUUCAUGAUGAGUUUUUAGAAAAGGUUAAAACCCAGUUGGUAGUAGGUGAGAUAGAUGAAAAUUGGUCUAUGUAUGAAGAUGGGAGUGUGAGGUUCAAAGGGAGAUUGUGUGUGCCAAAAGAUGUGGAGUUGAGAAAUGAACUUCUAGCAGAUGCUCAUAGGGCGAAGUAUACCAUCCACCCUGGGAAUACUAAGAUGUAUCAAGACUUAAAGAGACAGUUUUGGUGGAGUAGGAUGAAGAGAGAUAUUGCUCAGUUUGUAGCCAACUGUCAGAUUUGUCAGCAAGUGAAGGCUAAACACCAGAGGCCUGCAGGGUUAUUGCAACCUUUACCUAUACCUGAGUGGAAGUGGGAUAAUAUCACUAUGGACUUUGUGAUAGGGUUGCCAAGAACUAGAAGCAAGAAAAAUGGGGUUUGGGUGAUUGUGGACCAUCUUACUAAGUCAGCUCAUUUUCUAGCCAUGAAAACUACUGAUUCCAUGAACUCUUUGGCUAAGUUGUAUAUACAAGAGAUUGUGAGAUUGCAUGGGAUACCUGUAUCUAUAGUGUCUGAUAGGGACCCUAAGUUUACUUCUCAGUUUUGGCAGAGUUUACAAAGGGCUUUGGGCACCCAACUGAAUUUUAGCACCGCUUUUCACCCUCAGACAGAUGGUCAAUCAGAGAGAGUGAUCCAGAUCUUAGAAGACAUGUUAAGGGCUUGUGUUUUGGAUUUUGGAAGAAAUUGGGCAGAUUACUUACCUUUGGCAGAGUUUGCUUAUAACAACAGUUACCAAUCUAGUAUUGGCAUGGCACCUUAUGAAGCACUCUAUGGGAGACCUUGUAGAUCGCCCUUAUGUUGGAUAGAGAUGGGUGAGAGUCAUUUGUUGGGACCUGAGAUUGUCCAAGAGACUACAAAGAAGAUACAACUCAUCAAGGAAAAACUUAAGACUGCCCAAGAUAGACAGAAAAGUUAUGCAGACAAAAGGAGAAGGCCCUUGGAGUUUGAGGAAGGGGAUUUGGUGUUUGUAAAAGUGUCCCCUCGAAGAGGCAUAUUUCGAUUUGGGAAGAAGAGGAAGUUAGCCCCUAGGUUUGUGGGACCAUUUCAGAUUGAUAAGAGAGUUGGCCCAGUGGCAUACAAGUUAAUUUUGCCUCAACAGUUGUCCCUUGUGCAUGAUGUUUUCCAUGUGUUGAUGCUAAGGAAAUGUACUCCAAAUCCAACUUGGGUAGUGGACUUGCAAGAUGUUCAGAUUAGUGAAGAUACUUCUUAUGUGGAGGAACCUUUACGAAUUCUGGAAGCUGGAGAGCAUAGGUUCAGGAACAAGGUGAUUCCUGCAGUCAAAGUGUGGUGGCAACACCAUGGGAUAGAAGAAGCCACUUGGGAACCUGAGGAAGAAAUGAGACGACAUUAUCCGCAACUCUUCUACGAAUUUAAAGGUAAGCUAGUUUAAAUUUCGGGACAAAAUUUCUUUUAGGGGGGUAGGAUGUAAUGACCGGGUAUUUUAUGCCACGUUAGCAAUUUUAGUCUAAAAAUUCUUAUUUUGUGUGAUGGUUGAAAAGUCAAAAAGAAAAGUGUUUGGAGAACACGUGUCAAUUUCGGAUUGGUAAAGUUCGUUUUAUUGUGUCGGUCAAUUAAACGAGUUGAAAAUUUUAUGCCAUGUCAGCCUUAGGAUAGAAAAUUCUUAGGAUUUUAGAAAUUGGAAAUUUCCGGGAACGAAAAACAAAAACGAAAAUGAAAAAUAAAUAAAUUAAGAUUAAUUAGAAUUAAUUAAGAAAAAUAAAUUAAUUAAUUAAAUUAAAUUGAUGAAUAAUAAUAUUGAGAAAAUUAGUUUUUAUUUGGUGUUAAUAAAUAAAAUUGUGUGUUAAAAUGAAAAAAAAAUGAAUUGAAAAUUAAAUAAAACAAUUAGAAUAAAAUAAAAGAAAUAAAAUAAAUAUAUUCAAUGGGCUUUGAAUAUGGGUUGUUAAGGUAAUGGGUUGUAAAAGAAAAAAAAUUUAAUGGAGUUGGGCUUAAGUGGCUGGUGGCUUUUAAAAGCCUAGUGGGCUGUUAAUAAAAAGAAAGAAAAAAAUGGGUUGGGCUUUUGAAGUUUGGGCCAGGCUUGUGUGGCUGGAUGGUUAGUAAAAAGAAAAAAAAAAAAAAAAGGAAAAGGAGGAGAAUUGCAGCACGCAGGGGCGGUGAGAGAGAGAGAGGUUACUGUGCAUAAAUUAGGGCACUCGCCGGAAUUUUGAUCGGCCGUUUGGACGGCCAAACGAUCUCUGUUUCCGCCCAAAUUCGGAGGAAGUACUCUAUUCGACUAGACGAACAACCCUGCGGUGGCUGAUUUUGUUUUUAACGGCUAAAUUUUCAGAUCUGAGGUAGGGGACCCUAACCCUAAAACUUAAAUUUUUAUGUUUUUCCCUUGAGAAAAAAUUGUAGAUAUUGUCAUUUUGAGUUAAUUAGGAAUUAUAGGUGUUGUAUGAAUUUUUCUAGAAUAUUUGGAAUUUGUUUGGAAUUUUUGGAAUUUCGGGAAAUUGAUUUUGAUUGAUAAUUAAUUGUUUUGAAAUGUAAAAAAAUUAUUAGAUGGGUUGGAAAAUUCCAAAAUUUGGGUUAAAUUUAAAAUAUAAUGAUUUGUGAAUUUUUAGGCAUUGGUUAGAAUAUUUUUGAAAAUUUUAGGGUAAAUAGUUAGUUAAUUUUGGAUAUUAGAAAUUGUUAUAAUGGUUGAAAAAUUUUGUAAGUGUGGUAAAAUCUCAAGAUUUUGAUAUGCAAUUUUUUUUGAAUAUUUAUUUGGGAUAUUAUCGGAAAUUGUAAUGUGUGAAAUUAUUUUUUUGGACUAUUGGGGAAUGUUGAGAUUGUUGAAUUAUUGAGGAACAUUAGAAUUGUGGCAUUCAUUUGCAUCAUGGUUAUGUGAAAAAGAUAAAUAAAUGAAUGAAAUAGAGAUGAGAAGUGGAAGCCCGUGUGGGGCAAAUUAAGAAGGGAGAGAGAUCCCUAGGGUGAAAGACCCAAAAGUUUACCCCGGGAAGACUCCGAAUGGGGAGUGUAUUUGGGUGCGGACGCGUAUCCUUCGGUGAAAGCCCGAGAACAAUAGUGCACUGUAUGAUUGUGUGUCACACGUUCAUGUGCAUUCAUGUAAUUGUUGAAUAUUGUGAAAUUGUGUAUAAUAUCAUAUAUUAAACUAUGUGAUUGAUUGAUAUUGUUGAAUUGUUCCUUUUGUGUUGAAGUGUCCUUUCCGUAUUCUUUGAAACAUAGUAAUCCCCUUAACCCCUUGGGUGCUAGGCACCCUACUGAGCAAUGUGGAAAUGCUCACCCCUUCCUUGUUAUACAUUUUUAGAUGCAGAUAUCUCUCCUGAGGAUCCACAGGUGGGGCAGGGAGAACUUCAGGAUACUCUUGGAGCGGCCUAGUGGAGCUUGACAUUUUUUUAUUAUUGUGUUUCUUUUUGGAUUUUGGGAUUUGUUUUAGUAAUUAUGACUCAUGGGCUUGUUAUGAAGCUUUAUUUUGAUAAAGUUGUUAAUUGUGAACUUUAUUUUGGACUAUAAUGAAUAUUUAUUUAAUCUUGUUGUUUUGAGUAGUUUGGGGAUAUUGAGGUUUAUGAGAAUUCUAGUGGGAUGUAAAAAAAAAAAAAAUCCAGAGUGUUUUGGUUAACUGCCAACGUGGAAUAGUAGGAACCCUUAGGGUCAAACCUUUGAUCUGGGGUCAUGGGUCAAAUUUUGGGUCGCCCGGAAUUUGGGUCGUGACAAUAUAUGUACAAAGUUGUAGCAAGGAUCUCAGCCAUUAGUACACAUUUAUACUGAAACAAAAAUUUCACUAAACUGGCAAUUUUCAAUUGUUUUGUGCGUUUAGAGUAUAAUCAUAAAUAAGAAGUAAUAUACGAUUGUUAAAGAAAUUAUACUCAAAACUAUAGCAGUUAUUAACUUCUCUUUGAUCAAUAGGUGACGUUAUUUAAAUAUUUCACCACCAAAAAAAAUUGUUGAAUCUAAUAUUAGGUUCUGAAGAGAAAGUUCAAUAAAAAAAAUAAAUAAAUAAAUAAAAAAGGAAUCUUGGGCUCCCCUCUGGCAUCAUUAGGGUUAUGCAGAAGAACUAGGAAUGAUACUCGGCCAUCAUUUACUAGGCUGGUUUGAUCGAAAUCACAUCCAAGUAAGGGAACGAAAACAUGCAUACGCCCCCACAAUCAUCUAAGGUAAAAGGGAGUUUCAAGCUUACCUUUUUCACAGUAUAUCCAAAAUCCAGGGAUAUUUUCAUUGUCAAUAAUGCUGAAAAAAAAAUAAAAUUAAAAAAAUAGUUGAAUGAAAAAGAAUAAAAAAAAAUUAAAAAAAAUCCUUCCAAAUGUCAAGAAGAAAAUACAAAAUCCUAACAAGUAUUUCAUUUUCAAGUAUACUAUAAAUUAUAAAAUAAAAAUAGUAUUAGAAAAUGAAGCAUGAGUAAUCAUAUUAACCUUACAAGAUAAUUCAAGAAAUAAGUGACAGUAAUGCUACUACUUUUAUGAGCAAAUUUUAUUACUUUUUUAUGUUUACCACAUUUUUUACAUCCAUUGAUGUAAAAAAAAAAAAAAAAAAAAGGAGAGUGCCAAUGAUAUAUAAAAAAAGUUUUGCUCAAGAGCUCUUUCUUACGUGUUGAGUACUAAAUAAUUAAUGUCUUUGUAUAAUAAGACAGGUUAAUAUCAUUCACUUCUUUUGAGAUUUUGAUUAAAUACAUUUAAUUUUUAUUGGUUUGAAAUUUUAUCAAAUAACUCCCUUAUCAUUUUUAUUAUUUUACUCACUUUUCUUAUCACUCAAAAUAAGGGGGAUAUUUAAUGAAAUUUCAAAUCAAUGAAGAGUCAAAUAUAUUUAAUCAAAACCUUAAGGGAAGAGGGUGAAAUUAACCCUAACAAAAUUGGUAGUUCAAGGGAUUCAAAAUAGAUUGAUGAAUGCAGGUACCUUGUAACAUCCAAGGAAGAAGCUUGUGAGUGGAGAUAACCCCCUUGAUUCUCGAAAACCAUGCCAAUGAAAAAAUAGCUAUAAUCAUAAAGUUUAGCUCUAAUAGAUUUAGAAGCCCCUUAAAUCCCUAUAUCUGCACUUUUGAGAGAAUUUAUAACUGUGUAAGCCAUGACAUCACACUUUGCCCUAUAUUCAAUUUGGUCAAUCUUUUUAACUUCAAAAGUUGAGUACCUUGAGUCAAGAAAACCCAUUUACUAACACUUGCAUUUCCUUUCCAAGGUAUUAGUUUGCCCUUAAUCUAAGAAUCAAUAAUUUUAGAAGUUUCUCCUAAACGAGCAUAGAAUCACAUUCUAGUGAUGAGACUUGGAGGGAAUUGAAGGGCUUCAAGCAAUUUUUGCAUGUGUCCCUUCAUUUCCAACUUAGAGAAAUGGAGCCAAGAGUUCAUAGCAAAUGAUGGAAUGAUAGACCCUUCCGAUGUCCCUUCCGAUGUCUUAAGGAACAAAGGAUUUAAGACAAUGUAGCUUGGCAAUGGAAUUUGAAAACCUAACCUCUUCUAUACCAUAUCUUCCUUCUAAUUUCAACUUCUCAAGACAAGUACUUAACUUGCUUGAAUCAUUUUGGCUCUAUUGCUUGAACCUUAUGCUUAAUAUUGUCUAAAGAUUUUACAGGUAUCAAUUUGCAAUGGGCCAUCAUCCCUUUGCCCCUCUGUAUAAAGAUAUCGCAGGUUUUUCAUUUUCCAUAUCACAUUUCUCACUUAAUUGAGAUUGUUCAUAUCCAAAGUCUUCAAACUCCUUAGGUUGCCUAUAGAUGGUGGAAGCAUUUUUAAACCAAAAUGCCUUAAUCUCAAGUACCUUAAAUGAAUUAGUGUCCCAACUAUACUUAGUAGGCUUUCAAUUUCCGAACCUUCCAAAUCUAGCACCCUAAGCACUUUGAAGCAUUUGCCAAAAUGUACUAGCAAAAAUUAUUACCAAAAAUGAAAAAAAUGGUGAAUGACUUCAAUUUCUGAAUUCCAAGAUAGCAUAUCCCAAAACAAUUAUUUUCCAUUAUAUGAAACUACUCAUUCAUGAUGAACAAAAUUUACUUUUUAUAUUGAUCUCAUAUUUUGAAAAAAUGAAAAAUCACUUUUACAUUAAAAUUGUCAUUUAAAAAGAUGAGUUCAUUUUUUUUACUUUGAAAAGUUAUACAAGAUAAGUUCACUUCUUUACUGUUGAACUUACAUUUUUUUUCUUUUUUUAAAAAAGACAAUUAUAUUAAUGGAUUGAUUUUUAAAAAAAUUAUAUCACCUAGUGCAAAAAGCCCAAACCUACCACUUUCAAACCAAUGACAAUAACACUUUUGCAUGCCAAGCAAAGCCUUCAAAUACGUCAUCCUAAUUGUCCCUUAAUAUACAUAUAAUUGUACAAAAAAAGAUCUCAUAAUUUGAUUCAACAAACUUAUAAGCAAAUUGGUUUUAGUUUAGAUACAAUAUAAAUAUGUUCAACCUUAGUAUGACCAUCACUGAAAGUAGACAUUGCUAACUAUAAUACAUGAGAUUUUAAUAGCAUGGCCUUAUGUUUCCUUUCAAUCACUCUAUCAUGGAAUCAAGCAUGAGGUAGAAGCCCUAGGCAAAUCUGCUGCAACAUAAUCUUCAGGUUAUCGAACAUGUUUGGCAUGCUGAAAUUAUCUAUUUGCAAAUAUCAAACAUACAUUAUAAACAAUGACAAUAGACAAAAAGAGAGCCAACAAGUUUUAGCCUUUCACUUGGCAUACAUCAUGUGAUUUUAGCCACAAGGAUGUCUUAGAUCAUUGAAAAACUUGGCUAAUUUUUCAACUACUUGCCUGGAACUUUCUGUUGUUUAACCUGUUGCAACACAAAUCAAAGUAUCACAUGGCCAACUUUUAGGUACCUAAACUAAACAUCCAUAAAUGUACAAAGUUGUAGCAAGGAUCUCAUAUAUAAUGAAAAAAAUUUCACUAAACUGGCAAUUUUCAUUUUUCAAUUGGUUUAUGCGAUUAGAGUAAAAGCACAAGAAGUAAUAUAUGUUUGUUAGGAAACUAAAAACUAUAGAAGUAAUUGAUUUCUCUUCAAUAAAAGCUGAAGUUAUUUAAUUUGGCAAAAAAAAAAAAAAAAAAAAAAAAAAAAAAAAAAACCUUGCUUUGUUGAAUCUAAUAAUAGGUUCUGAGGUGGGAUUCAUUAGCUAAAGAGAAAUUUAAGUGAAGAUCUUGGAUUUCUCUCUAGCAUCCCUAAUUGUUAUGCAGAAGCAUAAGCAAUUAUACUUGGCCAUAAUUACUACGCUGGCUUGGUAGAAAUCACAUCCAAGUAAGGGAACAAAACAUGCAUUUAUACACCCCAACAAUCAAGCAGGGUAAAAGUGAAUUCCAGACUUCUAGACUUACCUUUUUCGUGAUAAAUUUGAAAUCUAAUCUCACCAUUUAUAGAGAUACUAAAAUGAAUAGAAAAAUCAAACAAAUCAUGUUAGUGGAAUAAAAAGAACAAUAAAAAAUUUGGAAAAAAAAAAUCAUCCUUACAAUGUUGAAGAGAGAUAAUUUGAAUUGUUUUAACUUUCCACUAUAUAUUUAAACUUAAAGUUCUAGUUAGUUCAAAAGCAAUGGAGUAGGGCAGCCAUUUAAUGGUACUGCUAUUUUCGUAGUAUGGGUUUUAUUUUAUUUUUCAAAUAUAUAUUGGUUCUUCACAUGCAUUUAACACCUAUCAAAUGUGCAAGAGUGAUGAAAUUGAAAAAACAUGUGAGAGAAAUAGCGAUGCAUAGUUGUGGACCCGCAUUUUUCAUGUGCGUCCCCACUCAAUCGGAGAGACUCGCUUUUAUUUUGGUGAAAAAUUAGUUUUGGAAAAGUCGGAGUCGCCACUUAUUUUAUUUUAUUUUUAAAAGGGAAAAUAAAACAAGAAAUAAAAUCCUUAAAGAAGUAACUCCAUAGUUUUCGGAAAAACGUGUCUUUGAAAAACCCGAGUCUUGGUUAGGGGAUCAGGUUACCUAUUAGAAAGGUACCUUUAAAAUGUAGCAUCCCUCUAAGCCCUAAAGAGGUCUCUAAUGACUAAGUUGAAGGGAAUGUAACAAUUAAUUAAUUGAUUUAUGGUACCUAGGUAGGCUAGGGUGAUUUCAGAAUUAGCAUGUCAAGUUAGAAAAUCAAAUCAUGGUCAUAAAAAAGAGUCAAAGUGUGUACCUGAACUACUUCGCAAGCACUAUCAUAAAACAUCAAAGUUAGUAUAGAAAUAUAAUACACAACAUGUGUUUUAUCCAAGCAAAUCAAGCAUACUUCUAGGCAUCCAAGGAUUAUAUCAAGCAUGGGUAUAGUCAUCAAUAGUAUACGUGUUCAUAGAAUUCUUGAAAAUAAGUGAGAAGGAGCGUACUUGGAUAGCAAACUAACUUAUAAUGCGCUUCCACAAGACAUGGGGGUUAGAUCAUAGUUAUAAUAAUAAUUAGUAAAGGAAAGAAUCUUAACAUGUUUGGUAUCUAAAUAACAUAGAAAAAAUUAUCAAGAGUAUACAAAACACCAAUUAUCUCAUACAUCUUGUAUACAAUUCCUAAAAAAUAUAUAGAUAGAUAUAAUUACAACAAGUAGUAAAGGUGGCAGCAAAGAUGAGUUUUGAAAAAAUGAUUUUAUAUAGGGGUUUCAACAAUUCCCCAAUUGAUAUACACAAAUUCCAUUUAUUUGAGACCACAAGCUUGGAUUCAUGUCUUACUCAAAACCGUAGUUUUUAUUGAAAACUGAGAAAGAUGCGAACCGAUCAAAACAUGGUUGCAUAUUAUUUAAGAAAAUGAGAUUUUGUUUCUAAGGACUCUAAAUGAAUUUUUUAAAAUAGAUUUUCAAAUGGAUCUUUUGAGAAAAGUGUUUUGUUUUAAAAUAAAAGAAAUAAAUUUGAAAACAAUAAAACAUAAGAAACAAGAUACCAAGCAAGACUAAAGAAAACAAAAUCACAAUGUAAAAAUUUUUUAUAACCAAGCAAACCAAUAUGGUGAGAGUAGGCUCAACCAUCAUGGGUUUCCAAUGGCCUUAAGCAAGAUCACAAGAUACCAAUCAAGAACUAACCACUGAAACUUUAAAAGCAUUUAGAUUUAAGAUAAAUCAAUCAAGAGCCAAUAAAUGAGUUUUAAAAUGAGACUAAUAAUAUGGGAUUAUUACAAAUUGCCAACUAAGUUUCAAAUAAAUAAUAAACAUCGUCGGGAUCAUCAAAACAACAUCUAAUAAUUUAAAGAACAACAUAAACUGGUAUAGACUAUCACAAAUCAAUAACUAACUACUCAGAGACAAACAUAAAUUAACAUAGAUCUUUAAAACCAACAACUAAGGAUUCUGAGAAAAAUGAAAAUCAACAUGGAUCAAUCAAAAUAACAAUUUUUAAUUUUAAGGACAACACAAAUUUAUGGAUCAAUCAAAACCAAAAACUAACAAUUUAAGGAGCAACAUAAAUUAAUAUGAAUAUUCAAAGUUAAUAACAAAUGAUUUUAUGAAAUGCGCACACUAACCUGGGUAUUCAAAAUUAACAACAAAUAAUUUUUUUCUUUUUUUAAAAAAAAGAAUUAAAUUAUUAACUAAAUAGAAAAAUAAAAAAGCAACAAUUAGCUCUUCUCAAUGUGCUUAAUAUUUUUAUUUUUUAAAAUGCUAACACCAAAUACUCAUUACAUGGUUGCAUAUGUUCAGUCCCAUUAACUUUAUUUUAUUCAAGCAUACAUCCAAGCAUUUCUUUACAUGAGUAAUUGUAUUGUUUCCGUUUAUAAAUUUUUAUUUUUUAUUCAAUCAAACUAGGCCUCCAACACCAAGCUAUCCAUGGCAGCACAGAUUGUUUCAAUUCAAGGAUUUUUUUUUCUUUUUUUUUUCUUUUUUAUUCAAACCACUAAGUUAAUAUAUAUCAACAAUUAUGUUCCCUUAUUAUUUUUAUUUUUAUUUUUUAAUUCAAACCACUAUAUCUUAAUAUAUAGUAACAUUUCAUAAUUCUUAACAUUCACAUAGAAAUUCAUCAACUUAUUCAUGAGGGAACAAAUAACCUAAUAAACUAAAAAAAGAAACCUCAAAACUUUUGAACUAAAUAGAAGCAAUCAAAACUAAAUUUAAAGACUUGAAAACACGAAUAUAACCACAUAGGAUUAAUUAAACUAAGAAACAAUUAAAAAUUUUAAAGCACAUAGGCUAAAUGGGAAUAAUUUAAAACUAAACUUAACAACUUGACAACAUGAAUAUAUUGACAUUGGAAUUAAUUAAAUUAAAUAACUACAAUUCUAGAACAACUAUGAAUUGAAACUGAUAUUCAUGAAUCAAAACUUAAAUAAAAAGAAUUAACUUAACUCUUUCACACAAGCAUGGGCCACCCUCCACCAAAAAUUCCAGUAGGAUGUUCAAUAAUGGUGCCAAGGAUGCAUGGUAUGAUGACUUCAAAUGCUCUACACAUUCCCUAAAGCACUGCACGUUAAUGGAGAAAAAUUCCCCUUAACAACUUGUUGCCUCUUGUUGUAUCUAAAGAUCACCCCUUCAGACUCAACAAGAGUAAUCAUAUUAACCUUACAAGAUAAUUCAGGAAAUAAGUGAUAGUAAUGCUACUAAUUUUAUGAGCAAAUUUUAUUACUUUUUUGUGUUUACCACAUUUUUUACAUCCAUUGAUGUAAAAAAAAAAAAAGAGAGAGUGGCCAAUGAUAUAUAAAAAUGUUUUGCUCAAGAGCUCUUUCUUACGUGUUGAGUACUAAAUAAUUAAUAUCUUCGUAUAAUAAGACAAGUUAAUAUCAUUCACUUCUUUUGAGAUUUUGGUUAAAUACAUUUAAUUUUUAUUGGCUUAAAAUUUUAUCAAAUAACUCCCUUAUCCUUUUUAUUAUUUUACUCACUUUUCUUAUCACUCAAAAUAAGGUGGAUAUUUAAUGAAAUUUAAAAUCAAUGAAGAGUCAAACAUAUCUAAUCAAAACUUGAAAGGAAGAGGGUGAAAUUAAUCCUAACAAAAUUGGUAGUUCAAGGAAUUCAAAAUAGAUCGAUGAAUGCAAGUACCUUGUAACAUCCAAGGAAAAAGCUUGUGAGUGGAGAUAACCCCCUUUAUUCUCAAAAACCAUGCCAAUGAAAAAAUAGCUAUAAUCAUAAAGUUUAGCUCUAAUAGAUUUAGAAGCCCCUUAAAUCCCAAUAUCUACACUUUUGAGAGAAUUUGUAACUGUGUAAGCCAUGACAUCGCACCUCGCCCUAUAUUCAAUUUGGUCAAUCUUUUUAACUUCAAAUGUUGAAAUACCUUGAGUCGAGAAAACCCAUUUACUGACACUUGCAUUUCCUUUCCAAGGUAUUAGUUUGCCCUUAAUCUAAGAAUCAAUAAUUUCGAAAGCUUCUCCUAAACAAGCAUAGGAUCACAUUCUAGUGAUGGGACUUGGAGGGAAUUGAAGGGCUUCAGGCAAUUUUUGCAUGUGUCCCUUCAUUUUCAACUUAGAGAUAUAGAGCCAAGAGUUCAUAGCAAAUGAUGGAAUGAUAGAUCCUUCCGAUUUCUUAAGGAACAAAGGAUUUAAGACAAUGUAGCUUGGCAGUGGAGUUUGAAAACCUAACCUCUUCUAUAACAUAUCUUCCUUCUAAUUUCAACUUCUCAAAACAGGUAUUUAACUUGGUUGAAUCAUUUUGGCUCCAUUGCUUGAACCUUAUGCUUAAUAUAGUCUAAAGAUUUUAUAGGGUAUCAAUUUGCAAUGGGGCAUCAUCCCCUUGCCCCUCUAUAUAAAGAUAUCGCAGGUUUUCCAUUUUCCUUAUCAUAUUUGUCACUUCAUUGAGAUUGUUCAUAUCCAAAGUCUUUAAACUCCUUAGGUUGCCUAUAGAUGUUGGAAGCAUUUUUAAACCUGAAUGCCUUAAUCUCAAGUACCUUAAAUGAAUUAGUGUCCCAACUAUACUAGGUAGGCUUUCAAUUUCCAAACCUUCCAAAUCUAGCACCCUAAGCACUUUGAAGCAUAUGCCAAAAUGUACUUGCAAAAAAAUUAUUACCAAAAAUGAAAAAAUGGGUGAAUGACUUCAAUUUCUGAAUGCCAAGAUAGCAUGUCCCAAAACAAUUAUUUGCCAUUAUUUGAAACUACUCAUUCAUGAUGAACAAAAUUUACUUUUUAUAUUGAUCUCGUAUUUUGAAAAAAAAUGCAAAAUCACUUUUGCAUUAAAAAUGCAAAAUCGCCAUUUUCAAAGAUAAGUUCAUUUUUUUUACUUUGAAAAGUUUUAUACAAGAUAAGUUCACUUCUUUACUGUUGAACUUGCAUUUUUAUUUUUAUUUUUGAAAGACAAUUCUAUUAAUGGAUUGAUUUUUAAAAAAAUUAUAUCACCUAGUGCAAAAAGCCCAAACCUACCACUUUCAAACCAAUAACAAUAACACUUUUGCAUGCCAAGCUAAGCCUUCAAAUACAUCAUCCUAAUUGUCACUUAAUAUACAUAUAAUUGUACAAACAAACAUCUAAUAAUUUGAUUCAACAAACUUAUAAGCACAUUGGUUUUAGUUUAGAUACAAUAUAAAUAUGUUCAACCUUAGUCUGACCAUCACUGAAAGUAGACAUUGCUAACUAUAAUACAUGAGAUUUUAAUAGCAUGGCCUUAUGUUUCUUUUCAAUCACUUCAUGGAAUCAAGCACGAGGUGGAAGCCCCUGGCAAAUCUGCUGCAGCAUAAUCUUCAGGUUAUCGAACAUGUUUGGCAUGCUCAAAUUAUCUGUUUGCAAAGAUCAAACAUACAUUAUAAACAAUGACAAUAGAAAAAAAAAAAAAAAAAAGCCAACAAGUUUUAGCCUUUCACUUGUCAUACAUGUUGUCAUUUUUGACCUAACAAUUUCUUGGAUGCCUGAGGACGGCGGCUAAUUUUUCAACUGCUUGUCAGGAGCUUUCUGUUGUUUGACUUGUUGCAACACAGAUCUGAGUAUCACAUGGCCAACUUUUAGGUUCCUAAACUAAACAUGCAUAUAUGUACAAAGUUGUAGCAUGAAUCUAAGCAUUAGUUCAUAUAUAAUGAAAAAAAAAAAUCACUAGACUGGCAAUUUUCAUUUUUCAAUUGAUUUAUGCAUUUAGAGUAAAAUCAUAAGAAGUAAUAUAUGUUUGUUAAGAAACUGAAAACUAUAGAAGUAAUUGAUUUCUCUUCAAUAAAAGCUGAAGUUAUUUAAUUUGGCAAAAAAAAAAAAAAAACUUGUUUUGUUGAAUUUAAUAAUAGGUUUUGAAGUGGGAUUCAUUAGCUAAAGAGAAAUUUCAGUGAAAAGAUCUUGGGCUUCUCUAUGGCAUCACUAAUUGUUAUGCAAAAGAACAAUGAAUAAUGAUUACUACUCAAAAAGUGCUAUUUCAUAGCUUGUAAUUAACUCUUUUAAACACUUUUGAGUAGUAGUUAUUGCCUUUUAACCCAAUUAACAUGUUAAGGACCCUUGCAAUCAUUUCUAAUCAAAUUGUGUAAGUUUUGGUGUUUUUGUUAGUAAUUUGAUCACCAAAACAAUCCAAGAUUGAGGAGAGUUAUUUGGAAUCCAUGGCAAAGCAAUGAAGAGCUCAAAUUCAUGAAGAACCAAGCUUUGGAGCUCCAUAGCCCUUUGCCAAAGUCGUUCAAAGUAUGCAAGGAGAGAAGCAAGGACAGAGGAAAAACAGAGUGAAGAAAACAGAGGAAAGCUAGCUGCAGUCUUCUUUUGCACUUUUGGAGCACUUCCCGAAGUCCAUUUUCUACAUUCUAUAUACCAUUUCAAAGCUCAGGAAGUCAAGAAUCCAAUGCUUCAAAUGGUGCGCGAUUUGGAGUUGAAACAAAGGAGUUACAGCCAUUGCAAGCAGAUCACUCCAAAGUGUUGCGAAAUCAGCCUUUUGUUGCGAGAAUUUCGCAGCCUUUUUGUACAGUGCUAUGGAAUUCCUCCUGAAGCUACCCGAUACAUGCCGCAAGCUGGAACGCUGAGAACCUCAAGGUGGAAGCCAAUUUCACAGCCCUGCGAGUUUAACUUGUUAUUGCGAAAAUAUUUCGCAGCCUUCUUGAGUGCCUGCGAAAUCUCGCAGACACCAUUUUUCACCUGCGAAAUGUUCCUGGAGCUUCCCGAUAUUUUUGCACCGACUCUUUUAGAUCUUUUCUUUAGAUAUUUUUGUAUAAUUUCCAUUUUCUCCUUGUAUUCAACCACUCAUGUAAUUCCUUAGCUAGGAAGUAUCCAAGGAAGGGUAAAUUACCUUCCUAUAUAAACUCUCUUGUAAACACUCUCAGGAGACGCUCGGGGGGAUGUAAUGUAAUCUAAUAUAUAGAAUCAACGAACAGAGCACUUGCUCUGUUUUUCAUAUAUAUUCUUGUUUUCUCGUUAGUUUUCUUUCUAGCCAACCAAACUCUGAGGAUUUUUCCACAGAUGAUGAGAAGCUAAGCUUUUUGUCUCUUGGAGUGAGGAAAGCCGGGUAAGUUUCCACAUGCAUAAUUUGGAAGUUUUGUUGUUUUAGUUUUUAAUGAAGAGAAAGUGUGACCCGUUAAUGGUUUUUAUCUUUUUAAUUAACUUAAAACGCCUUUAAAUCACCUGGGCCAACACUUGGUAAGGCAAGUGAUCUCCGUCCAUGGAGAUUCACUAGUUUACCCCUUGCGAGCCUCUGGGAGGUGACUUCAAGGUAGGAUUUUCUAGAAUAGCCAACACUUGGUAAGCUUUUGGACUCCAAGGAGACAUCCAUUAGUUAUCUCUUGCGAGCUUUUGACGGGUAAUCCAAGGUUAAAGAUCACCUUGAAUGACAAAUGCUAGGUGAGAGGCAUGAGUCAUUGCAAGAUGCAUCAGUGAGAGGGAUUUAGUGUUUGAACCCAUUAAUGGGAAGUAUCUGUACAACACCGGUUAGAGAAUUAACUAUAUGUUAAUUCUCUAAUGCGAGGAAAAGAAACAAGUGACCGGAACUCCCUUUUUGUAUGAGGAAUCUGAGCCUAGUGAUCUGAACUCCAAGAAACAUCUUUUUUUUUGUAAGUAAAAUUUGUUACUAUUUGUGGUUAGUUUAAAACCAAACCUUUUCCAACUCAAGUUUAUGUUUUCUUUUAAAGCUAACCUUGAAAUGAAAAGGCAUCAAUUCAACUUUGAAUUAAUAUCAUUUGUGAAGUGAAAACUCAUCCCAGUGAACGAUCCUAGAGCCACUAUGCUAUAGUAGCUUUGUCUUUGCUACCCUAGUAUAUGGUGUAAUAGGUUAUAAAUUUUGUUGAUUACUCCCUCAAUCAAGGAGCACCAGCUGGACACGAAUCAGCUGAGACACCAAUUGGGCACGAAUCAAAUGGCGCCGUUGCCGAGGAUCGAACCCCGAAUCAGAUGGUGCCAUUGCCACUUCCACUGCUAGGGACGAGUCAAAUAAUACUUCCAUGAAUUACUAGGCUGAAUUGGUAGAAAUCACAUCCACGUAAAGGAACAAAAACAUGCAUUUAUACACCCCAACAAUCAUCCAGGGUAAAAGUGAAUUCUAGACUUCCAGGCUUACCUUUUUUGCGGCAAAUUUGAAAUCUAGUCUCAUAAGUUAUAAAGAGUUUGAAAUGAAUAGAAAAAUCAAACAAAGCAUGUUAGCGGCAUAAAAAAAAAUAAUAAAUUGAAAAAUAAAUCAUCCUUACAAUGUUGAAGAGAGAUAAUUUGAGUUGUUUUAACUUUCCACUAUAUAUUUAAAAUUUAAGUUCUAGUUAGUUCAAAAGAAAAGGAGUUGGGUAACCAUUUAAUGGUACUGCUAUUUUCCUAGUAUGGAUUGAAUAUAUAUAGAAAAAUAUUUGCAUCUAUUUUAUUUUAUUUUUCAAAUAUAUAUUGGUUUUGCACAUGCAUUUAAAACCUAUCAAAUGUACAAAAGUGAUGAAAUUGAAAAAACAUGUGAAAGAAAUAGCGAUGCAUAGGGGUCAAUGUGUCUACAAAGCAAGAUGAAGUACGGUCAUCAGGCCACUAGAUGGAUUCGUUUUAAUAGAAGAAAAUGUUGCUUUCCAAAUUUACAAAAGGAGAAAAUACAGAAUCCUAACAUGUAUUUCAUUUUCAAGUACACUAUAAAUUAAAUAAAAUAAUAUUAAAAAAAUGUAGCAAGAGUAACUAUAUUGGUCUUAUAAGUUAAUUCAAGAAGUGACAAGUAGUAAAAAUUGAUAGUUCAAUGGAUCUAAGUAGAUAGUUGAAUGUAGGUACCUUGUACUAUGCCAAGGAUGAGGUACACUAUUCAAUAAGAGCAACUUCACAAUUCUCAUGUUAAGAAAUGUUCCACCCUUAAUGUUUAGCUCCACUAGAUUUAGCAGCCCAUUAAGUCCUAAGAUAUUCACCUUACCAUGAAUUUGUAAUUGCAUAAGCCAUGGCAUUGCGCCUUGCCCUAUAUUCAACUUGGUCAAUCCUUGUAACUCUAAAAGUUGAAGUACUUUGAGUUGAGGAAAUCCAUUUGCAGAUACAUGCAUUUUCUUUCCAAGAUAUGACUUAGCCCUUAAUCUGAGAGUCAACAAUUUUGGCAGCUUCUCCAAUAUAGGCAUAGGAUCACAACCUAGCCUAGAUGCUUCCAAUGUCAAUUGUGUAAGAUUUGGUGAGAAUUCAACGGUUUCAGGCAAUUUUUGCAUGUGUCCCUUUAUGUCCAACUUAGAGAGAUGGAGGCAAGAGUUUAUGGCAAAAGGUGGAAUGUUGGACUCAUCUGAUGCCUUAAGGUACAAGGAUUUAAGACUAGGUAGCUUGGCAAUGGAGUUCUGAAAACACAGCCCCUUCUACCUCACACCUUUCUUCUAAUUUCAAUUUCUCAAGACAAGUUAAGUUGCUUGAAUCAUUCUUGAUCCAUUGGUUGGAGGUUAUGCCUAAUAGAAUUUGAAGAUCUUGCAAUGUAUCAAUUUGUAGUGGAACAUCUUCCUUUUGACCCUCAAUAUAAAGAUAUCUCAUGUUUUUAAUCUUCAGUAUCACAUUUGGCACUUGUCUAAGAUUAUUUAUCUCCAAAGACUACAAACUCCUUAGGUUGCCUAUAGAUGGUGGAAGCAUUUUUAAACCAUAAUGCAUUAAUCUCAAGUACCUUAAAUGAAUUAGUGUCCCAACUAUACUAGGUAGGCUUUCAAUUUCCCAACCUUCCAAAUCUAGCACCCUAAGUACUUUGAAGCAUCUGCCAAAAUGUACUUGCAAAAAUUAUUACAAAAAAUGAAAAAAUGUGUGAAUGACUUCAAUUUUUGAAGCAUGUCCAAAAACAAUUAUUUGCCAUUAUUUGAAACUACUCAUUCAUGACGAACAAAAUUUAUAUCUGUAUUGGGAAUAGUAAUUGAUUUUCAUAUGCCCUAUACUAAAAUUUAUAAGCAAUAUCGCCAGAAAAUUAUUUAAAUUGGCACCACCAUGGUUAUUUAGAUCCCAAACCUACCAAUUUUUUUUAAAUGUAUAUAUAUAUAUAUUAUUCAAAAUUAUUAUUUAAAAAAUAAAUAUAAAAAUAGUCUUUUUAUCAUUUUUUUUUUUUUUGCAUCAAAUUUGUUUCUUUAAAACAAAUUUACUUUUUAUAUUGAUCUUGUAUUUUGAAAAAAUGAAAAAUCACUUUUACAUUAAAGUUGUUUUUUAAAAAUUUAAGUUCUUUUUUUUUACAUUGAAAAGUUUUAUACAAGAUAAGUUCACUUCUUUACUGCUGAACUUGCAUUUUAUUUUUUAUUUUUUGAAAGACAGUUCUAUUAAUGGGUUGAUUUUUAAAAAAAUUAUAUCACCUAGUGCAAAAAGCCCAAACCUACCACUUUUAAACCAAUAAGAAUAACACUUUUGCAGGCCAUGCAUAGCCAUCAAAUACAUCAUCCUAAUUGUCAGUUAAUAUACAUAUAAUUAUACAAACAAACAUCUAAUAAUCUGGUUCAACAAAUUUAAAAGCACACUGGUCUUAGUUUAAUUUAGAUACAAUAUAAAUAUUGUCCAAGCUUAGCAUGACCAUUAUUGAAAGUAGACAUUGCUAACUAUAAUACAUGAGAUUUUAAUUGCAUGGCCUUAUGUUUCCUUUCAAUGACUCCAGCAUGAAUGUAGAAGCUCCUGGCAAUUCUGCUGCAGCAUAAUCUUCAGGUUAUCGGACAUGUUUGGCAUGCUCAGAUUAUCUGUUUGCAAAGACCAAACAUACAUUAAUGAUAAUAGACAAAAAGAGAGCCAACAAGUUUUAGCAUUUCACUAGUCAUACAUGUUGUCAUUUUGGGCAUGAGGAUUUCUUCAAUAUAUAAGAAAGGUGGCUAAUUCUUCAACUGCUUGCCUAGAGCUUUCUGGUGUUUGACCUGUUGCAACACACGUCUGAGUAUCACAUGGCCAAAUUUUAGGUACCUAAACUAAACAUGAAUAUAUGUACAAAGUUGUAGCAAGGACCUCAACAUUAAUUCAUAUAUAUAUAAUGAAAAAAAAAUUGCCAAACUGGCAAUUUUCAUUUUUCUAUUGUUUUAUGUAUUUAGAGUAAAAUUGUAAGAAGUAAUAUAUGAUUGUUAAGAAACCAAAAACUAUAGGAGUAAUUAAUUUCUCUUCAAUAAAUAGAUGAAGUUAUUUAAUUUGGCAAAAAAAAAAAUUGUUUUGUUGAAUCUAAUAAUAGGUUCUGAAGUGGGGUUCAUUAGCUAAAGAAAAAUUCCAGUGAAAAGAUCUUGGGCUUCUCUCUGCCAUCAAUAAUUGUUAUGCAAAAGAACAAGGAAUAAUACUUGGCCAUGAAUUACUAGGCUGGCUUGGUAGAAAUCACAUCCAAGUAAAGGAACAAAAACAUGCAUUUAUGUAUUCACCGCACCAAUCGCCUAGGGUAAAAGUGAAUUCUAGGCCUUCAGGCUUACCUUUUUUACGGUACAAGUGAAAUCCAAUCUCAUCAUUUAUAUUGAUCCUGAAAUGAAUAGAAAAAUCAAACAAAGCAUGUUAGUGGAAUAAAAAAAAAAACAAUAAAAAGAAAAAGAAAAUCGUCCUUACAAUGUUGAAGAGAUAUAAUUUAUGUUCUUUUAACUUUCCACUGUAUAUUUAAAAUUAAAGUUCAAAUUAGUUCGAAAGUAAUGGAGUUGAGUAACCAUUAAUGUUACUACUAUUUUCCUAAUAUGGAUUGAAUAUAGAAAAAUAUUUGCAUUUGUUUUGUUUUUUCUUUUUCAAAUAUAUAUUGGUUCUAUACAUGCAUCUAAAACCUAUCAAAUGUGCAAAAGUGAUUAAAUUGAAAAACAUGUGAGAGAAAUAACAAUGCAUAGGGCUCAACGUGUCUACAAAGACAGGUGGAGUAUGGUCAUCAGGCCACUAGAUGGAUUCGUUUGAUAAAAGAAAAGGUUGCUUUCCAAAUUUAUGGAAAGAGAAAAUGUAGAAUCCUAACAUGUAUUUCAUUUUCAAGUAUGUUAUAAAUUAAAUUAAACAACAUUAAAAAAAAUGUAGCAAAAGUAAUUAUAUUGGUCUUAUAAGUUAAUUCAAGAAGUAAGUGACAAGUAGUAAAAAUUGGUAGUUCAAGGGAUCUAGAGUAAAUAGAUUAAUGUAGGUACCAUGUAAAAUCCCAAGGAAGUAGUUUGCCAGUGGAGAUAGCUAACCAGAUUUUGUGAGCCAAUUUCAUACUCAAUCAUCAAAAAUGAUAUUUAGAUCCACUAGAUUUAGGAGUCCACUAAAUCGUAAGAUUUUCACUCGUUGAUGAAUUUCUAAUUGCAUAAGCCAUGACAUUGCAUUUUGCCCUAUAUUCAACUUGGUCAAUCUUGUUAACUCUGAAAGUUGAAGUACUUUGAGUUGAGGAAACCCAUUUGCAAACACUUCCAUUUUCUUUCCAAGGUAUGAGUUUAUCCUUAAUCUAAGAAUCAACAAGUUUGGCUGCUUCUCUAAAACAGGCAUAGGAUCACAAUCUAGCCUAGAUGCUUCCAAUGUCAAUUGUGUGAGACUUGGUGAGAAUUCAACAGUUUCAAGCAAUUUUUGCAUGUGUCUCUUUAUGUCCAACUUAGAGAGAUGGAGGCAAGAGUUCAUGGCAAGGGAUGGAACGUAGGACUCAUCUGAUGCCUUGAGGUACAAGGAUUUAAGACUACAUAACUUGGCAAUGGAGUUUGAAAACUUAACCCCUUCUACCUCACACUUUCCUUAUAAUUUCAAUCUCUCAAGACAAGUUAACUUGCUUGAAUUAUUCUGGAUCCAUUGGUUGAAGGUUAUGCCUGAUAGAAUUUGAAGAUUUUGCAACGUAUCAAUUUGCAAUGGAACAUCUUCCUCUUGCCCCUCAAUGUAAAGAUGUCUCAUGUUUUUAAUCUUCCAUAUCACAUUUAGCACUUGUUUAAGAUUGUUUAUAUCCAAAGUCUGCAAACUCCUUAGGUUACCUAUAAAUGGUUGGAAGCCUUUUUAGACCAAUAUGCCUUAAUCCCAGGUACCUUAAAUGAAACAGUUCCCCAAUUAUACUUGGUAGGCAUUCAAUUUCUAAACCUUCCAAAUCUAACACUCUAAGCACUUUGCAGCAUUUGGCAAUGAAAUCUUCCAUAUCUCAUGUUUUUAAUCUUCCAAAUCAGUUCCUCUUUCCAUGUAAAGAUAUCUCAUGUUUUUUAUCUUCCAUAUCACAUUUGGCACUUGUUUAAGAUUGUUUAUAUCCAAAGUCUGCAAACUCCUUAGGUUGCCUAUAAAUGGUGGAAGCAUUUUUAGACCAGUAUGCCUUAAUCCCAGGUACCUUAAAUGAAUUAAUUUCCCAAUUAUAGUUGGCAGGCAUUCAAUUUCUAAACCUUCCAAAUCCAACACUCUAAGCACUUUGAAGCAUUUGGCAAUGAAAUCUAGUUGCGAUGCUUUACAAUUUUUCCCCAAAUUGAAAAAUAAGAGAGAGCAAAGAUAUGGAGUUAAAUUUUCAAUGGAAGCAUACCUCUCAAUGUCAGAAUAAAUACUUCGUCAACGGGAUUUAGAUGAAAAGAGAGAUAAACUUAUGGGAUUUAGAUCCAAAGAAAGAUAAACUGGUGGAGGAGAAUAGAGGAUCUAUGAUGAAGUUUUGCUCUUUUGCCUUUUUAAUGGCCAACUCUCAUACAAGGUCAUGAACCUGACAUUCCGUGACCCUUGCAUUAACACUCUUUCUCACUACUUGAAUCAAAUUUCUAUUGAUUAACUCAUUCAAGUAAACCUCAGCCAUGUCUUUCAUUCUUCGGUCAUCUUGUUAUGGCACAAAACCCUCAACAGUCCAUAAAAAGAGCAGUUUUCUGGAGGAGAUCACAUAAUCUUCAGGGAAGAGGCUUAAAUGAAGAAAGCACGGUUUCAAGUAAUGGGGCAAGUCGAUGUAGCUGAGGUUUAGCAUUGCCAUUACUCCCAUUUGGCCUUCUUUAGCAAGGUAUGCACUAAUGUUAUCGUGCACCUACUUCCAUUCUGUAUGUGACAUAUUUCUUUACAGCAAACCCCCCAAUACAACGAUGGACAAGCAGAGCUCUCUGUUCAGUGAAUGGAGUUCAUGUUCUGGAUAGAAUGGGCAAUUCACUUUUUUGAAGAGAUAAAUUCACUUUUUUACAUUGAAAAGUUUUAUACUAAACUCAUUUUCCAAAGGUUAAGUCCACUUCUUUACCGGUGAACUUGUAUUUUUCAUUUUUAUACUAAUUACUUUUUUUAGAAGACAAAUUCUAUUAAUGGAUUGAUUUUUUUAAAAAUAAUAUCACCCUGCAAAAAGCCCAAACCUACCACUUUCAAACCAAUAACAAUAACACUUUUGCAUGCCAAGCAAAGCCUUCAAAUACAUCAUCCUAAUUGUCACUUAAUACACAUAUAAUUGUACAAACAAACAUCUAAUAAUUUGAUUCAACAAACUUAUAAGCACAUUGGUUUUAGUUUAGAUACAAUAUAAAUAUGUUCAACCUUGGUAUGACCAUCACUGAAAGUAGACAUUGCUAACUAUAAUACAUGAGAUUUUAAUAGCAUGGCAUUAUGUUUCCUUUCAAUCACUCCAUUAUGGAAUCAAGCAUGAGGUAGAAGCCCCUGGCAAAUCUACGGCAGUAUAAUCUUUCGGUCAUCGAAUCUGUUUGCAAAGAUCAAACAUACAUUAUAAACAAUGACAAUAGACAAAAA